GCCGGUUAUUAGAAUUAAGCCAUAUUUUAAAUUGUAUCGGUAAAGUAAUUACUCUUUAAUGCAAAAAUAAAACCUGAACAUAAAUACUCCUCUCUGAAACACGGAAAAACUCAAACGAGUACUGGAGUUUGAACAUUUAGUAGUCUAAACUUCAUGAAUUGUACAUGAGUUUGAAAACAUCUUAUAUAUGGAAAUUUGGUAUAUUAUGCUGGAGUUUUGAAUUUUUCAAGUAAAACUCCAACGCACGAUACUAGAUUGUGCUNNNCCCACUCNNNNNNNNNNNNNNNNNNNNNNNNNNNNNNNNNNNNNNNNNNNNNNNNNNNNNNNNNNNNNNNNNNNNNNNNNNNNNNNNNNNNNNNNNNNNNNNNNNNNNNNNNNNNNNNNNNNNNNNNNNNNNNNNNNNNNNNNNNNNNNNNNNNNNNNNNNNNNNNNNNNNNNNNNNNNNNNNNNNNNNNNNNNNNNNNNNNNNNNNNNNNNNNNNNNNNNNNNNNNNNNNNNNNNNNNNNNNNNNNNNNNNNNNNNNNNNNNNNNNNNNNNNNNNNNNNNNNNNNNNNNNNNNNNNNNNNNNNNNNNNNNNNNNNNNNNNNNNNNNNNNNNNNNNNNNNNNNNNNNNNNNNNNNNNNNNNNNNNNNNNNNNNNNNCUUACAACCCACUCAUAUGAAUACUCCAUUGAAAUAACAUCAAUAUUGGUAAUUUCAUCGAACACGUUGCCUACAUCAUCCAAUUUUUUCUUGUUGAGGAUGGAUUAAAGAGUUUAGAUCUUUAUGUUUUAAAGUACUUCGCGUUGAAUCAUCUUGUUUCUACAUUUUGUUAAUGAGGUUUGUAGUUAUUCUCCUUUUUGUUGUGGUGGGUGGAGGUCAUUUGGUUCGAUGAAGUUUAUGGGCAUUAGCUGUUAAUCUAUAUGAACAUGAAAUCAACUUUUUAUCAUUGUUAGAUCAUAAAGAAAAGAUAAAGAUACCGUAAAUAAUUACCAUCCAUCAUCUGUGCUACUUACGGGUUUAGGGAAAAGAAUAUAAAUUUAGAGCUAAGUUUGCACUCUAAUAAUCAUUGUUGGACUUUGAUAUUGCAAAUGUGUGAAUUCCUUGAAUUGUUCUUAGAGUUUGAACUUAUAAAGGAUUGAACACCAUGAAUUGUUCAUGGGGUUUGAAAUUAGGAGUAAUGUAACGACUCGACCAGUUAUUUUGAGCAUUAGCAUUUUAUUCGGCGGUGCAAGAUCUUAAGUAGCUUUAUAAGAUGUAUUAUGACUUAUGUAUAUGGUUGGGUUCGAUAUUCAAGAGGUUUGGGAAGAUUUGAAAAAGUAAUUCUCAAUUUGAAAGCCUUAAGUUAGAAGAAUUGACCAAGGUUUGACUUUUGAGUAAACGAUCUCAAAAUUGAAAUUUGAUGGUUUAAAUGGGUUUGUAUGGUGAUUUUAGACUUGGAUGUAAGUUCGUAUUUGAAUUUGGAUGUUCCUAAAAAGUUUUGGCUCUAUUUGUCGAAAGUUGGCAAUUCGAAGAAUUAGAGAGUUCAUAGGUUUGACUGAGAGUUGAUUUUGAUGUUAUCGGGGUCCGGUCAGUAUUUUGGGACUUUGGUUAGAUUCAUUUGGUGCAUUAAAACUUGUUUAUAAAGUUUGAUUGUGAUUCAAAAUGCCUAAGUAUGAUUCAAAUGAGUUCGACGAAGUUGCAUGGUUAAAACUUAAGAGAAUGAUUUCGAUCAUUGAUUCGUGGUUUUGAUAUUAUUUGCAGUAUUUUGAGAUCUUUGAUAAGUUUGGUUAUUCUAUCUGAACUUGUUGGUAUGAUUAUAAGGGGUCCCGAGUGCUCGGGUAUGAUCCGAGUUGAUUUCAGACUAUUUCUAUGUGUUUUGAAGCAUCUCAGUUGCUUGUGUUUUACAGCGCAUCGCGAUCACAAAGCUAGGCUCGCGAUCAUAGAGCUAGGAUCGCGGAGAAGAAUCUUGGCUAGCUGGAUUUUUUGCUUCGUGUUCGCGUAGUAGUGGUAAGCUUGGCCUCUGUGUUCACAUAUAAGAGAUUGUGUUCGCGUAGAGUCGGAACAGGCUGGGGGCUCGUUUGCUUUCGCAUUCGCAAGAUGAAGCUCGCGUUAGCGAUCUUUUAGCUCGUUGGCUUUCAUGAUCGCGGGCUUCAGAAACAAUCGCAUAGACUAUUUUCUGGGGCAACAACAUUUGUGCCACGUGAACACGAGGCUUGUGUCGCUUUCGCGAAGGGUAUUUCUGGGCAGAUUAUUUAAGAAGACAUUUUGGGAUUUUUAUCCAUUCUUUCAUAUUUUGAGCCCUAGACUUGGAGAAGGGAGAUUUUUCAUGGAUAGUUUCAUACAAGGCAAGAGGGUAAGUGAUUUUUACCUAUUUGUGAUUAUAUUUCAAGAAGGCACAUGAAUUUCUAUACCUAAAACAUAAGAAUUUAAAAGGAAAUUUAGUUUUAAUAUACACUUUAAGAGAGUGUAUUUUGGGGUUUUGAUCAUCCAUUUGGAACCAAAUUUAUGGACUCGACAGGUUAUGGGUAAUAGGAUUUUUGUAUUGGUUUUGGGGUGGCGAACGUAUAUGCACAUACCAAGUUUUUAUCAUGUCCGGGGUAAAAUUGAGAUACAUUAUGCCUUGUUUUGAUAAUAUGCUCAACUUGAUUCAUGAUUUAUAUGGCUUAUAUGACUACAAUCGCUCUCUUAUUUAUGCUAGAGAUCAUGUCUAGGUUUUUUAUUAUUUAUAAAGGCAUGGAAGCUUAUUUGUGAUAUAUUGAAUUGCUUGAAUCAUCCGUAAUCAUAUAGAAAUUAAAUGAGUGUAUAUCCGCAUGAUUAUUAUUAAGUUUUGUGCAUUUUUUAUCCAUUAAUUCUGUCACGACCCCAAAUAGGACCCGGUCGUAAUGGUGCCUCUCAUGAAGACAAGGCCAGCCGACACAAUCCCUAAGUUCAUUUCAAAAGUUUUAAUAAGUCAAUUUAAGCCUUUUUAUUUAAUCAGGUAUUGCAUAAUGUAAGUUUAAAAGAACAGUGCAGAAAUAGAUAUAGCCCGACAUCGGGGUGUCACAAGUCACGAGCAUCUACUAAUGUCUAAAAUACAACGAAAAUUCUGAAAAUGUACUAAAUACAAUAUAAUGACAUCAAAGGGAGAAAAGCAGUGUUGCGGACGUCGAGCAGCUACCUUGAUAAACUCCAAAGACUCUGCCUCUGAUCAACCAAUACCCGCGACCGGGUGCAGAAAUACAUGAAUCUACACACAAGGUGCAGGUAGUAAAGUGAGUACUCCAACUCAGUGAGUAAUAAUCAUAAAUAAAAACUGAGUGAUAAAAAAUCACGAAAAGUACAUCAACGUACUGUAUAGAAGCAGUACAAAACCAGUAAGAAAGCAAUGAAGCUGUGAGAUCUCAUAAAGCAUCUUAGCUCAGUUUAAACUUCUUUAAAAAUGACUUUUUAAUAGUUAAGCAACUAAAUGUAAAGCAACUAGAGCAGAUAAGCACAGAAAAUCCGCCCCUCGGACACAAAUACCAACAGAAACAGCCCCUCGGGCAACAACAUGGAACAACACCAACCCCUCGGGCUAUAUCUUACAUCACAAUGGGUACCCGCGCUCACUGGAGGUAUGCAGACUCCUGGAGGGGCCCCUUACGGCCCAAGCGCAAUAUCAAGUCAUCUCAUGGCAUCAUCACUAGGCUCUCGACCUCAUAUCAAUAAGACACCUCGUGGCGUACAAAACUCAGGCCAUCGGCCUCACACCGCUGCGGCGUGCAGCCCGACCCAAAAGUAUCCUCACAACACAGCCUCUCGGCGUUACUCAGUCAAAAUCACAUAAGCCACUCGGGCAAUAGUAAAACAUGAUACUCAACCCAAAAUUUUAUUUGAAAUAUCAUUUAGUAUGUUAACAUGGUUGAGUUAUAAAAAUAGUAGAAUAUAACAUGACUGAGUACAAGUUUAAAGUCAAAACAAUGAGGAAAUAUUAGUAAAAAUCCCAUAAGAGUCCAAAUAGUUGGCACUAGGCCCAAAUAUGGCAUUCCGCCCAAAGAAAUAUGAAAGCAGACAGUUUUCAAUCAAAUACGUGGUAAAACAAAUCAUUCGGGAUGGACUAGGUCACAAUCCCCAAUAGUGCGUGACCCCACGCUCGUCGUCUAGCAUGUGUGUCACCUCAAUAUACAACGAUGUGCAAUCUAGGGUUUCAUACCCUCAGGACAACAUUUACAAUCAUUACUCACCUCGAUCCGGUCCAAACUCUAGCACGUUAUGCAUUUGCCCUCACGAAUCGACCUCCGAAUGCUCCAAAUCUAGCCACAAUCAAUAUAUAACUAUUAAAAUAUGCUAAAGGAACAAAGCUCACUCGAAAAUAUCCAACUAACAUAAAAAAUUCUGAAAUUGCUCAAACCUGAUCCCCGAUCCCCGAGCCCACGUCUUGGAUUCCGAUAAAAUUUACAUCAAUAUGUUCCUUAUCUCCCCACGAGUUCAUANNNNNNNNNNNNNNNNNNNNNNNNNNNNNNNNNNNNNNNNNNNNNNNNNNNNNNNNNNNNNNNNNNNNNNNNNNNNNNNNNNNNNNNNNNNNNNNNNNNNNNNNNNNNNNNNNNNAAUACUAGGCUUAAAUUCCAUGAUUAAUUAGGUAGAAUUCACACAAGAAUCGAGUAUUAAGUUCAAAAAUCUUACCUCCAGGUGUUAUCUCUUGAAUCCCUCUUCAAAUCCUCUCAAAAAGCUUCAAAAUCGCCCAAAAAUGGUGAAAGUUAGCCCCAAAAUUGCGGACAAUGGCUAUUUAAACAUUCUACCCAGGCAUCAAAAACCUUCUUCGCGAAUGCGGUCAAAGCCUCGCGUUCGCGAAGCACAAACUCAAGUUGACCAUAUCUUCCUUCAUUGCGAUCGCGACAAUCACUAUGUGAACGCGAAAGCUUGACUUUCUAACUCACUACGAACGCGACACCACCAUCGCGAACGCGAAGAACAAACACCCUGGACCCAACUGCUCAUCUUCCUUCUAUGCGAACGUGGCAUGAACCUUGCGAACGUGAUGCACAAGACUCUAGACCUUCGCGAACGCGAUGGCUAAUUCCUCAGCCUCACCAGCUUACCCUUCGUGAACGCGAGGACCUACUCGCGAACGCGAAGGUCAAUUUUCCUGAAAUUCUUCAGCAGUUUUCUACAACUUUUCAAAAUAUGAAAUGGCCCGAUUGACCACCCGAAACUCACCCGAGGCCCUUGGGACCUCAACCAAACAUGCCAACAUAUAUUAUAACAUCAUUCAAACUUGUUCCAACCUUCGGAACGCUCAAAACAACAUUAAAACACCAAAUUUGCAUCGAAUUCAAGCCUAAGAAUUCCAAAAUCUUCCGAAUUACGCUUUUAAUAAAAAACCCAACCAAUCCAAGUCCGAAUGACCUGAAAUUUUGCACACACGUCACAAAUGACACAACUAAGCUACUACAACUUCUGGAAUUCCGUUUCGUCCCCUAUAUCAAAAUCUCACCUAUCAACCGGAAAAAGCCAAAAUCUCAAUUUCGCCAAUUCAAGCCUAAACCUUCCAUAGACUUCCAAAAUGUAUUCCGAUCACGCUCCUAAGUCCCAAAUCAUCUAAUGUAACUAAGCAAAUCAUAAAAAUUCCGAUUCGAGAUCAUAUACAAACAAGUCAAAUAUUUGUCAAACCCCUUCAAAUUUCAAGCUUCAACAUGAGAUCUGUUCUUCCAAAUUCAUUCCGAUUACCCUGAAAACCAAAACCAACGAUUUACAUAAGUCAUAAUACAUCCCACGGGGCAAGUCAUGCCCGAGAACUGGUGAGGGAAGUGAAAAAGCUCAUAACGACCAUUCGGUCAUUACAUCCUCCCCCACUUAAACAUACGUUCGUCCUCGAACGUGCCCAGAGUUGUUUCAAAAACCAUCAAAUCGCUGUGUAACCUUACCAUGCACAUACACGGGGGUGAUCCCAUGUCACCCUAUCUCAUAUAGUUCUAAUAACACAAUGUAACUGAAAUUUUCACAAUCCAACCUAGCCCAUAAACCUUAGAACCACAUUUUCACUCUUGAAAUCAUCCACCAGAUCAGAAUCUCACAUCUAUACUUUGAAUAAGUCCGAACAAGCUAUAAUAACCCAUACCUGCAACCUCAGGUGCAACUACAUGAUAUACCACAUAACUCAAACACUUGUAGCGAUAAAUUCUAAUCACAGCAGUUGCACACAACACCUGAAUACCGAUAGAAAACCUCUUAUCAACUAAAGUCUCAUUCCAACACUUUCAUAUACUACCAAUGAUAAAUGAAACACGCAGUAAACCAUAACCAUCUCUCAGAUCAACCAUUCAUGAAGUCGCUUCUCCUUGGCAAAGACCAUAGCAAAAUUUCUAAGUCGAACCUCAAUAUUAUCCUUCCCACAUGCUGAAAUCGAAUUCGUUCGUAUUCAUUAAAGACCCCAACGAUCUCAUCUAAUCCGACACAAUUACUCCGGUGACAUGACACAUAAAUGCAGGCUAAAGCAACAACUUGUGCAAUCGGCGCACCAAUAAGCAGCAAUCCGAACAUACCCAAAUCAUGAAAAAUGGCUCAAAUGAAAAAGUUGUACUGCAAGCUCACCAGAAUCACCGCACACAAUGUUGAGAACCCGUCACACAUCAUAGAAAUAGAAUGCACGAAUCCAACUCUAAGGGUCAUACCUCCACAUAACUCCGCUGCAAUGCGUGACCCUAUCUAGACACUGGUCCACAUGAAUCACCUAAAGUCACUCUGCUCAUAAUUGACGACCACAUGCAAUUGAUGUCUAGAACUAAGGCAAAUCAUCAUACCUACGGUGAAGCAAAUACAUAACACCACACAACCUGAAAGGACAUAACUAAUAUGCCAUCCGCCAAGAAGUAUCCAAUGCCCCUCCUGCUCGAAUUUCACUGAGAGAUUCCAAUAACACCACACCACAUGUGCUUAUAACCAACAAAUCCCAACGCCUCGCGACACGGAAAGGUAACUCAUAGAUCUCCCCAGAUUACUAAUAAGCUCAAUAACAAUCGAAUCAACACAUCCCUCAACAAUACAACUGGAGCCAACCAAGACGACUCAAGUUAGAACACUCAUCCACAUUGGCCUGCCAACGAACCCCUUAUCAAGGAAACCCUAAAGCUGCUCCUUCAACUCCUUUAACUCUGCCGGUGUCGUACAAUAUAGUUCCCGGUAUCAAAUCAAUACCAAAAUCAACAACCUUGCCCGGUGACAUGCCCGGCCACAAGAAACACAUCCAAAAAGUCCCUCACUACCGGAACUGAAUCAAUGGUAGGAGUCUCUGCACUAACAUCCAUCACGAAAGCCCAAAUAAGAAAGACACUCCUUCCGAGCCAUCCACUGGGUCUUCAAAAUAUAAAACUACCCUACUAAGAACAUAAUCCGUCGAACCUCGCCACUCAAUCCUUGGCAUUCCUAGCAUAGCCAACAUCACCGCCUUAGCGCAAUAGUCCAGCAUAACACGACACGAAGACAACCAGUCUUUACCCAAUAUUACAUCAGAAUCUAAUAUACCACGCAACAAAAGAUCCAUUCGGGUCUCCAAACCCCAAUAGUUACUAAAUAGUGCCAAUACACACGACCCACAACCACAACAUAGCAUGAAUAUGAGAACUCCCAGUCUCCAACUCCAUAUAGCACACGAAUCACCAUACCUGAUCCCAAUUCCCUAUCUAAAUACAUACCACACCUCUAAUACUUAAUCAUUCCACGAGAGAUACUCUAAAAUUCUUCUGUGCCACCAAGCAAACUCGAAUAUCAACAGUCGAUCUAACAAGAGAGUGCCACAAUACUACCGAAGUACCAUCAACUUAAUCAUAUUGCCUUUUUCUAAAACAUAUACCCUCGUCAAAUCACCCCAAUCAGCAAUAUCAUUUCCUUAAUCAUCUGAAGAUCAUUCCCCUAAUCAUCUGAAGCUCAUUUCUCUAAUUAUCUUAAGCUCAUUUCUCUAAUUAUCUGAAGUUGCCGCUGCUUAAGGAUGUUAUGAUCUUUCUUUCAGAACUGAACUGAGACCUUACACAUGCAAAUCUCAAGCCUACACCAUAUACCGCAUAAACCAUACCAUCUGAGGGUAACCACGAGGACUUCAUAUCCCUUCCGAGCCACAAGCAACUAUGCACUCAACCAAUCAAGAACUUUCCAUUGAGCCUAUCUGGAAGAAAAUCAUUAUACAUCCCAUACUCCUCAUGCCAGAAGAAAAUAUACACCUCCAAACCGUAGUAGAAAUCAUCAAGAACUCUCCGACUCCCCUUUGCACAUAACCAAACCUGUUAGGAUUGAAUCCUUAUAACUCAUCCAAGCUACACAAGCCACUAAAACCCAAGAGCAUUGACGCGAAAUACCUGUAGAAACUCAUUACCCCGUACACACCCAAGGAACUAAUCAUAUCCUUACCAUACCAAUCCGGUCUACUACCAAUCUAUCCCAUCUAUCCGAGUUUCCUUCUGAUUUACCUUUAACUUGAUACUCCCUCUUGUUGUAACACCACAAUUCCUCAACCCAGACUCCCUACACGAGACCCAAGCAUAAACUAUAUCGACUAAGGCUCAUAAGCUGCUGAAUACUCUCUUAAACAUCCCAAAAGCGCCACAUUCGAAAUACUUUACUCUGAAGAGACUUCCUGCGAAUCUAAAUCUGUUACCUUCACCUUUUUUAUGCUGAUAAAUAGGAUCCCAUAGUUGAUAUAGAAAUGUCACAAGUUUUGACACCCUCUAAUGCAAACCUCAAUUUCUAUCCAAAAGUACAACUUGAAGAUCUCCAAUUAUUAUAUGUAGAAAUGUGAACCCAUUAGAACCAUUCUCGAGAGUCAUGCACUCUACUCAAACCGCAAUUAGACUAAUCAAAUGAACCAAACAACAUGUACCUCAUUAGCACUUUGACACCACGGAAUGUAACCUCGCCUACGACCAAUCAACUUCCUGCUCUAUGCACCGAGCAUCCUUCAGUAAUAACCACUCAAGACACUCCGUGAUUCUCAUACACCUUAUGAAGCAUAAUAUAACCUUUGUAAAAAAUUUCCUUUACUCGAGCCAUCCUCAUUCUCAAUCUCCGUAAGUCAUAACUGAUUCACCCGUACGUCUCAAACUAGAACCAACAUAGCACAUAACCGUACAACCAACUAAUCAAUAGUAGACUCCCCCACUUGGCUCGAAGCCAUAGAUCAAAACACACACAAUAACUCAUAACGAAUAUACUCUAUUGCUGCCAUAAUAUCAUAGUGAGAUUAACUCAAUCCUUCAUAAACUCGUGAAACACCGACCAUCUAGUACUUUAAAUCUUCUGCAAAUCUCACAUUCACUCUCAUAACAGUUAAACCCACUCUCUUAAGUGACCCAAAUUUAAAUUUCAACACAUAUAUUUCACUUGUAAAUGAGAUCUUCUAACAGACAACAUAAGGAUCAUACAACUUCAGAACACUCCGCAGGAGAUAACCCACAUGCUUCACCUCAAACUGUCAUUUCUGUAUACCUUCCACUAUCACAAACAUUACGCAGUCACUUAAUCUUCCUGAGUCUGAACUUGUAUCGCAACAUGGAAUUUACUUCACUCCCCAACUAGAAAACAUGAAAAGAUUCUUCACACUCCCCAUAACUCGAGGCUAUGCCUCAAAUCAAGAUGAAAAUCAAAUACCUAAUAGUUCUUCCAUCCUCCAGCAGACCCUUCUUGUCGUUUCCAAAUCAUAUGAAUACACCUCGCAAUCAUAACAUACUCAUCAAGUAGCUAUCCAGUCAUUACUCCCCUUAAUAGGGACACAACAAAACAUGUAGAUCUAGAAGCAUGCGCUCACGCAAUCAUUAGUUCAGAGCUCAAGCUAUAGGCAAAAGUCCGGCCUCAAGUCUUCCAGACUGGCCCAACAUCAACACACAAGGAUCACAUCUCGCCCCUCGAUUAAGGAAUUACAAGCCAUCAAUGCACAUCUGGUAUCGAGCGCUCAUGCACGCAUGUGAACACAUGGAAGGAAUUCAAAAAGUCACAUUUCAAGCUGAAUCAAGGACGCACGAUAAGAAUUCAAGAAUGUGAAGUUUUCCUAAAGGUUCUGCAGCCUCUCGAGGAUAAAUACAAACGUCUCCGUACCGAUCCGCGAGACUCUACUAAACCUACUCAUGACUCGUGAGACCUAUGUAACCUAGGCUCUAAUACCAACUUGUCAUGACCCUAAACCGGACCCGGUUAUGAUGACGCCUUUCGUGAAGACAAGGCCAGCCGACACAAUCCCCAAGUUCAUUUCAAAAAUUUUAAUAAGUCAAUUUAAGCCUUUUUAGUUAAUCAGGUAUUGCAUAAUGUAAGUUUAAAAGAACAAUGCAGAAAUAGAUAUAGCCCGACAUUGGGUGUCACAAGUCACGAGCAUCUACUAAGGUCUAAAAUACAACAAAAAUUCUGAAAAUGUACCUAAUACAGUCUAAUGAUAUCAAAGGGAGAAAAGCAGUACUGCGGACGUCGAGCAGCUACCUUGCUAAACUCCAAAGACUCUGCCUCUGAUCAACCAAUACCCGCUACCGAGUGCAGAAAUACCUGAAUUUGCGCACAAGGUGCAGAGAGUAAAGUGAAUACUCCAACUUAGUGAGUAAUAAUCAUAAAUAAAGACUGCGUGAUAAGAAAUCACGAAAAGUACAUCAACAUGUUGUAUAGAAGCAGUACAAAACCAGUAAGAAAGCAAUGAAGUUGUGAAAUCUCUUAAAGCAUCUUAGCUCAGUUUAAACUUCUUUAAAAAUGACUUUUUAAUAUUUAAAAAAUUAAAUGCAAAACAACUAGAACAGAUAAGCAUAGAAAAUCUGCCCCUCGGGCACAAAUACCAAUAGAAACAGCUCCUCGGGCAACAACAUGGAACAACACCAACCCCUCGGGCUAUAUCUCACAUCACAAUGGGUACCCACGCUCACUGGGGGUGUGCAGACUCCUGGAAGGGCCCCUUAUGGCCCAAGCAGAAUAUCAAGCCAUCUCGUGGCAUCAUCACUAGGCUCUCGGCCUCAUAUCAACAAGCCACCUCGUGGCGUACAAAACUCAGGCCCUCAGCUUCAUAAUCAUAAUUAGUAUAUCACCGAUGCGGCGUGCAACCCGACCAAAGGUAUCCUCACAACACAGGCCCACGACCUUACUCAGUCAAAAUCACAUAAGCCACUCGGGCAAUAGUAAAACAUGAUACUCAGCCCAAAAUUUUAUUUGAAAUAUCAAUUAGUAUGUUAAAACAGAGUAAACAUGGCUGAGUUAUGAAAAUAGUAGAAUAUAACAUGACUAAGUACAAGUUUAAAGUCAAAACAGUGAGAAAAUAUCAGUAAAAAUUACAUAAGGGUCCAAAUAGUUAGCACUAGGCCCAAAUAUGGCAUUCCGCCCAAAGCAAGAUUACAGUUUUAAAUCAAAUACGUGGUAAAACAAAUCAUUCGGGAUGGACUAGGUCACAAUCCCCAACAGUGCGCGACCCCACGCUCGUCAUCUAGCGUGUGCGUCACCUCAAUAUAGCACAACGAUGUGCAAUCUGAGGUUUCAUACCCCCAGGACAAUAUUUACAAUCAUUACUCACCUCGAUCCAAUCUAAACUCUAGCCCGCGAUGCCUUUGCCCUCACGAAUCGACCUCCAGAUGCUCCAAAUCUAGCCAUAAUCAGUAUAUAACUAUUAAAAUAUGCUAAGGGAACAAAGCCCACUCGAAAAUAUCCAACUAACAUCAAAAAUCUCGAAAUUGCUCAAACCCAGCUCCCGGGACCACGUCUCGGAUUUCGAUAAAAUUUACAUCAAUAUGUUCCUUAUCUCCCCACUAGUNNNNNNNNNNNNNNNNNNNAUCUUAGGUCUCCAAUUACAAGCCCUAGUUCUUCAAUACUAGGCUUAAAUUCCAUGAUUAAUUAGGUAAAAUUCACACAAGAAUCGAGUAUUGAGUUCAAAAAUCUUACCUCCAGGUGUUAUAUCUUGAAUCCCUCUUCAAAUCCUAUCAAAAAACUCCAAAAUCUCCCAAAAAUGGUGAAAGUUAGCCCAAAAAUCGCCGACAAUGGCUAUUUGAACAUUCUACCCAAGCAUCAAAAACCUUCUUCGCGAACGCGGUCAAAGUCUCGCGUUCGCGAAACACAAACUCAAGUUGACCAAUUCUUCCUUUAUCGCGAUCGCGACAAUCACUACGCGAACGCGAAAGUUUGACUUUCUAACUCACUGCGAAUGCGACACCACCUCCGCGAACGCGAAGAACAAACACCCUAGACCCAACUGCUCACCUUCCUUCAAUGCGAACGCUGCAUGAACCUCGCAAACGCGAUGCACAAGACUCCAGCCCUUCGCGACGUGGAGCCUUCAUCGCGAACGCGAAGGCUAAUUUCUCAGCCUCACCAGCUUACCCUUUGCGAACGCGAGGACCUACUCGCGAACGCGAAGGUCAAAUUUCCUGAAAUCCUUCAGCAGUUUUCUGCAACAUUUCAAAAUAUGAAAUGACCUGAUUGACCACCCGAAACUACCCGAGGCCAUCGGGACCUCAACCAAACACGCCAACAUAUCCCAGAACAUCAUUCAAACUUUUUUCAACCUUCUAAACACUCAAAACAAUAUUAAAACACCAAAUUUGCAUCGAAUUCAAGCCUAAGAGUUCCAAAAUCUUCCGAAUUACCCUUUUGAUAAAAAACCCAGCCAAUCCACGUCCGAAUGACCUAAAAUUUUGCGCACACAUCACAAAUGACACAACAGAGCUACUGCAACUUCCGAAAUUUCAUUAUGACCCCUAUAUCAAAAUCUUACCUAUCAACCGGAAAAUGCCAAAAUCUCAGUUUCGCCAAUUCAAACCUAAACCUUCCACAGACUUCCAAAAUGCAUUCCGAUCACGCUGCUAAGUCCCAGAUUAUCUAACGGAGCUAAACAAAUCAUAAAAAUUCCAAUCCGAGAUCAUAUACAAACAAGUUAAAUCUUGGUCAAACCCCUUCAAAUUUCAAGCUUCAACCUGAGAACUGUUCUUCCAAAUUUAUUCUGAUUACCUUGAAAACCAAAACCAACAAUUUACAUAAGUCAUAAUACAUCACACGGGGUAAGUCAUGCCCGAGAACUAGCGAGCGAAGUGCAAAAUCUCAAAACGACCGGUCGGGUCAUUACAAAUUUUUGGGCACAUACAUAUGUAUUGUAAUUGGAUACUUGAUUUGGACUGAGAUUGCGGUAUGAAAGGAAGAUUAUGCGGUUAAAAUACAGUUAUGGCAUAGGACAUGAUAAACAACAAUAACAACAACAACCUAGUAAAAUCCCACUAGUGGGGUCUGGGGAGGGUAGUGUGUACACAGACCUUACCCCUACCCUGAAGGAGUAGAGAGGUUGUUUCCGAAAGACCCUCGACUCAAGAAAUGAAAAAGACAAAAGGAGACAAUAUUAGUAUCACUACAGAAAUCAUAUGAAGAAUAGGAACAACAUGAAAUCCAGAAAAAAGAUACAAAGUAUAAGCGAUAGCUAGUAAAUAUGUCCUGCUUUGAAAACCGAAAUAGCAAAUAAAAUAAUAAAUAAAUAAAUAAAUAAAAACCUACCAGACUAGUCUCACAAAGAUACAAAGUCAAGACUCAACUACCUUCUAACCUAUAACCUUAAUACUCGACCUCCACAUUUUCCUAUCAAGUGUCAUGUCCUCGGAAAUCUGAAGCCUUGCCAUAUCCUACCUGAUCACUUCUCCCCAAUACUUCUUAUGCCGCCCUCUACCUCUUAUCAUGAUGAACAACAACAACAACAACAACAACAACAACAACCCAGUAAAAUUCCACUAGUAGGGUCUGGGGAGGGUAGUAUGUAUGCAGACCUUACCUCUACCCUGAUGGAGUAGAGAGGCUGCACAUGACAUGAUGAACAUAUACUUAAUUAUAUGCGAGUUAUCAAACUUCUUUUUGCGCUUGGGUUUUGUACCAUCCCUCUACAAUCAAGUUAUUACUCAUGUUACUUUGGGCCCUGUAAGUAUGAUCGUUACAUGGAUUGUGUGGUAAAAGAUCCCGUACAAUCAUUGAAAAGUAUACUUUUCGAGACUACGGGAUAUUAGCAACGUAUAACAGUGUUUCGACUCUGUUACUUAUUGAACGUAUACUUUUCAAUGAUUUAUACUUUUUCGAGGUUAGACUUGAUACUUAUUGGGUACUGACGGUGGUAUACUCAUACAAAGCUUUUGUACAUCUUUUUGUACAGAUCCUCAAGUGGGUUCUAGCUAGGAGCCUCUUGUUGAGCCUAGGAAAUUAUUUAGAGACUUAGGGCGAGUUGCACCUCACGGAUUCGUUUCGCAGUGCCCGAGUCCAUAUUCUUAUUUAUCUUCUAUCUAUUUUUCUUCCUCUUAGACAAUUUUGAUUAUUUAUUCAAAUUUAUACUUAUUGAGUAGUUGCUCGUGUACUUAUAUCACCUAGUGCUUUGGGGGGGAGGGUUGUACUGUUUGGUCAUGUUUAGACCAUGUUAUGAUUGUAUAAGAUGUUGUACUAUUUAAAUUUAUGAUAUAACUUUGUUAAUUAAAGAAAUCUAGACUAUAUUCUGUUGAUUGUGAGUUGGCUUGCUUAGCAAGGACGGCUAGGCGCCAUCACGACCUGAGCUAGGACUUUGGAUUGUGAUUAAUUGGUAUUAGAGAUCUAGGUUCUAAGGGUCUCACGAGUCAUGAGAAGGUCUAGCAGAGUCUUGUGUAACAAUACGAAAACAUAUGUACUUAUCUCCGAGAGACUACGGGAUAUUAGGAAAUUUCCCUUUCUUGAUUCCUUAUCGUGCGACUUUAUCUUAGCUAUAUCUUCAGUUCCCUCCUACGUGUUCAUAUGCAAUGUUGAGCACUAUCAGUUGAGGUCUGGAGAUUUGUGGUGAUGUUGCACAUGUGGUGUGCGAUAUUUUUUCCCUGUGUUAAGGGUUGACUACUAUCAUUGCUUUGUGGAGGGAUUUUCAUCAAUAGCCCCCCUAGUGUUGGUAUUACCCACGUGUUUGGGACCUUACAUAGCAUAUCGUGAUGCUUCACAUGUUGGUUUUGUUGUGGUGUUAGUGCAGAGUGGUAGAGUGAUUGCCUACAUAUCACGACACUUAAGGCCCUGCGAGGAGAAUUAUCUGGUUCAUGAUUUGGAGUUUGGCAUUUGUUCUAGUAGAGGAGAGGCUUUUGGGCUAUGGAAGUUCCGACCUUGGUUUAUAAAUUUGUGAGUUUGGGCAUCUCUGAACAUAGUGUGAGCAUGUGAUUUUUGCCCUGUAAGAGAUACUCCUACAAAAUCCCAAGAAAAAAUAGAUUUUUUGUUAAUUGUUUGACAUUUUAGGAAUUUUUGUAGAAUUUUCUUAAUUGUUUGCAUUUUUCUGUGCAUGUUUAAUUUUUAUUUAGAUCAUGAAAAAUACCAAAAAUGUCAUGCAUCACAUUUAGGAUUUUAUUUUUACAUUUUUAGAAUUAGUCAGUAAUUAUUUGCUUUAUAAAUUGAAAAUCACAAAAAUAGCUCAUUUUUACACUUUUGUUUUAAUUUUUAGUUUAUUGAGUUUUUCCUUUUAAUUUAGAAUUAAUUGAUAUUUAUAAUUUUUAUAAUUAACUAAUUAUUUUAUUUCAUCCUUUAGAUAAUUUUGGAUUUUUAAUAAUUAGGAUUUUUUUAAAUUUAAAAAAAAGAAAGAAAGAAAGAAAAAGAACAGAAUUUGAAAAAAGAAGAAGAGAAUUAUAAGGGAGUUAAUUUUCUGAAUUGGACCAAUUUCAAUCUCCCAAAAUCAGUCCAAAUUUUACCCAAAACCGAGGCCCAAUCCCUGCCAAACCCGAUCCAGCCUUCCCAUGCCCUCAAACGACCCUGUUUUGAUAACACCACAUCACAGCCGUUGGAUUUUAAUCAUCCAACGGCUCGCAACUCACAACCCAAUAAUUAUAAAAUUGUCCGAAAACCAUACCCCCCAGUUGAACCCUUUCACUUUCCAUCUCUCUCUGUAAAUCACCCAAACCCUAGCCUCCCUUUAAUCCCAUGCCGCUUCCAUCGUAAACCACCGCCGAAAAUCACCUCACGGCGGUUCUGGUAGUCCAAUCGUCCCCAAAAUAACACCACAAACUCCCCUUCACCUCCCCAUUCCAAAUCUCCACUCCCUUUCCCUCGAACCACUGUCGAUUUCUUCGAAUCUUAAAUUGAAAGACACGGCCAAAACCCUAGUUAUUCCAAAUCCCAACAAAUUAACACCCUACAAUCCUUAACCCUUUCUAAGCCAUAAAUUACCUUUAGCCCCUUCCAAAUCGCCCCUAAUUUGCCCGAAUUUUAGAUCUUAAAUUCAUAAGCCCUAAAAAACCUUUGCCUGAAUUGAUUCCGGGUUUUAAUGGCUCUAUUCUGCAUGAGUCAAACUGUUUUGAUGAGAGCAGUUGACUCAUGUGGUUUGGACCUAUUGUUCGAAGUGUCCUGACUCCGACCAAGUCCUUCGGCUCCAAUUGUUUUAUUAUAGGUAAUUUUUCAAGUUUUUUCUUUCUAUCUUAUUCUACUUUUUCUUUUCUCCUGGCCACUUCUUUCUCUUUUUUUUUGUUUGAUUUUCCUUUGAGUUUUGUUCUGUCUGCAAAUUGCAUGUUCUAGUUUUCUUGUUUUGCAUUUGGCCAUUAGGAACUGAUAGUGUUAUUUUAGGUUUCGUUUUUAGUUUGGCUUGUUUUGUUACUCAGUUUCCUCCGUAAUUUCAUUAUUUUCUUCUAAUUUCUUUUCCUUUCUCCUAAUUACAUUUCUGACUAGUGCAUAUUUAGGCUAAUUUCAGAUUUCGUUCACAUGUUCAGUUGUUUAUUUGUUUUCGAUUGAUUAAAAGCAUGUUUGAAUCUUGAAUACUCAAAUUGCAUGAUUUUGAAUCGGUUCCACUGUUUUUCUUUGAAUAUUUUCCUGCUAUCUCCUUGUCUUUUCCUUCUCUUUUUAGAUGUCAUGACUCAGUUUUUGGUUUAGAGAACUUCUUCUUUUAGGGAAUAAUUUAGAUUUUAAUUCUAGAUGGUAGUCUCAUGAUCCUUUUAAGCUUUUGAUUUAGAUUUUUGAUCUUCUUUAGGUUGGUUUAUGUUGGACCUGAUGUGAAAAUCAGUAAAAACUUUAGGGACCCAUUUGAAUUAGAAAAGUUUAGGUUAAGACUGAAAUAAGUAGUAACCUAAAGGGUAAAAAGAGAUUUUUACUUAAGCUAAAAAUAAGAAAUUUCUAGAAAAUGUACAGCUGUCCUAGCUGUUAUAAAAAUAUGCUGAAAUAUAGGACAGUUGUACCAAGGGCUGUACUAUUAUUCCUUAGGAUAAGGAAUAUGCUUAAAAGAUACCUUCCCCAUAGGCAACCUAUAUAUAGGCUCAAUUAUCCUGAAAAAAUAUAGAUUUGGAUAUAGAUUUUUCAUACGGAUUCAACUUCAAUAUUCUGCAAAAAAUCCCUAAAAUCACAACAUAUUUUUUAGAAAUCUUAAAACUCCUCAUUUUACUUCUGAAAUUGAGAAUGGUUUGAAAUAGGGAGUUUCUUGGUUCAGUUGGUCAUUUUCUGGGUUCAAGUGUUUGAUUUUGGGUCUGAAACUUGGUUUUUGGUCUGCUGUGGCUCAUGUCCUAUUGUUGCUCUUUCUGGUUAAAGUUUCAGCCAGCUCUUGCACUUUUUAGUUGUUGUGUUGUUGCUGUUGUGCAAGGUACUGAAUUUCAUUCUCCCCAUGCAAUGUUUGUUAUUAAAGAAAUGUGAAAUCAGUUGCAUGUAAAUGAUGUUUGGUGCAAAUGAAUGUCUUUUUUAUUAUAGUAUUUAGCCUUAAUGAUAUGAAUAUAGUUGAAUCUUGAAUAUGUGAGUUUAAAUUUUGAGCAUGAGCAAGUUGAUCUAUGUCUGAAUGUUUUAUGAGUUCCGAUCCUGCAAAGUUAACCAUUAGGGCUGAUUUUGAGUUUUUUAGUCAGUUUCUAACCUUUUGUUUGGACCUAUAACUCUCUCUUUUAUUUAAAUCCUUUUGUUUGUACUUUGUUUGUUCUGUUAUAAGCUGAUACCUGCGGAUUUAGCUAUUUAUUGGCCAAAUCAGCAGGUGUAAAGGCUAGAAAUUGGAGUUUACGCCAUGCUAACACAAGAGGGGACCAAGUUCUAAUGGACAAACCAUGUCCAAAAGAGGAGGAAUUCUUCAGGAUAUCAGUUAUCCAAGAUCUGUAAUAGAUUAGCUUUAGUACAACUUAGUUUAUGUAUUCCAUUGGUAUUAAUGUAAUUUGAGAGUUUUCUUAAUUUAUUUAAAGAAUGUAAUGGUUAUGUUUUUUCAUGUUUUGAUUAACUGUAUUUAGGAAUUCAGUUAUGUGUUUCUCAUGCCUUACAAAACAGUAGUGAUGUAGAGGAGCUGGACUUCAAGCCCACUUAAUGGAACUAAUUUUUUUUUGUUUGUUCAAUAAGAAAGAAAGGGACUGAACCUGCAGCCCAAUCGAAAGACUAACCUCAAAUGGUUUGGGCCUAGUCUAUAGGUCCAAAGCUUUGAGUCAGUCUCAUAAGUCAUCCUUUCCUCCUUAAAUCGCAAUUCUUUUAUUACAUUGCAAAAAUCAGUUGAUUAAUUUUCUUUAAAAUUAGAAUCGGGUUGGUAAAAAUGAGUCUUCGAAUUUGGAUUAAAUUUUUGUUUGUUUUGUUUUCUGAUUGAAGUGAAUCGUUUUUCCUUGCAAUUUUUCUAGCAGUUUGGGUAAGUUCAGAAUACAAAGGUAGAUAGGCCCAUGCGUUAAAUGAGGCCCGCCUGGAUAAGCCCAAUGUGAGUGAAUUUGUUCGAAAUUCAGACUUGGGCAGAAACUUGAGGUUUCCUUCUCCAUUGGGCCAAUUCACGAGCGUAAAUACAGCCUUUACAGCUGAUUCAUCCAAGUGAGGAGCUAUAGCUGGCCCAUUCCUUUUGUCCAAAACAAUUAAAAACCUUUCAUAAUUAUUUAGCCUUUGUUAAGCUUAAGUUAGUCUCAAAUAGGAAUAUCCUAGAUGGCCUUAAUUAAAUAAGUUUCUUCUAAUACCAUUUGAGGUGUGCCAUGUUUAAAACCUAUAAUAUAUGGCCCCCAUGAACUUAAUUAAAACUUGUAAAAUUGAGGUGUGCCAUGUUAAAUAAAAUUCCUAAGCCCAUGGCCCUCAUAAAACUAGUUAGCUUUUAUAGAAAAAUGUGAGGUGUGCCAUUUUCAUUAAAUAACCCAUGGCCCUCAUGUAAUUAAUUCAAACCUUUUUAAAAUCGGGGCGUACCAUCAAUUAAAUUUUCCAUGGCCCUCGCAAACAUUGUUUGUAAUUUGAACUUUUGUAGUUGCUUUAGGCACAUUCUUUAAAAUAAUUUUUAAUUACUAAAUCCGGGAAUGCAUUUCAUGUGACCCGAUUCUAAUUUCCAACUAGGUUAAAUAGAUUGUAUCGUGAACUGCGGGUGCAUUUUAUGUAGUGUGGCUACGAUGUGUUUUAAAUAACCUUGAGGUUUCCCGAAAUAUUAAAAACGGCUAAAAAGUUAAAAAUGCACAAUAGGUUUAAAAGUGUUUUAAAAUUAGAUAAAUAGGCCAAUAAUAAUAGUUGAGCAACCAUGCUAGAACCACGGAACCCGGAAAUGCCUAACACCUUCUCCCGGAUUAACAGAAUUCCUUAUCUAGAAUUUCUGGUUCGCAGACUUUAAAAUGAAAGUCGAAUUUCCUCGAUUUAGGAUUUAAAAUAAACUGGUGGCUUGGGACACCAAAUAAAAUAUUCCAAGUGGCGACUCUGAUAAAUAAAUAAUCUCAUUUCGAAUAAUGUCACUUUAAUUGGAAAAACUCCUAUAUACCCUCGGGUGGUAAAAAGGAGGUGUGACAGCUCUAGCGACUCCGCUGGGGAUCCAAACCCAGAACUUUGGUUCAGGGUUCAAGAAUUCAAGCUUAGAAUAACUGUUAUAGUUGGCUUGUUUUUAUCUGAUUUUUACAUGUUGAGCCUAAUGUACUAACUGCCGCUUUUUACCGUAUUGAUAUUGUUUGGACGGUAUAUAAAAUUUCUACGAAACCCUCUUCUCUCUGAGUCUUCUAAUUCAUCUGGGAAGUGUACACUUCGUGUAACUUCUUUUCUGUUAUAGUCAUAUCCCAAAUAUAGAACGAGGUUCGGACAAGUUGCAAAGCCAGUGAAGCUUCUGUAUUCCCGACACGCUGCCUCCCCCCCCUCGAGCUGUCCGCUUGGGUAAGCCAGAUCUAGAACAAUACACCCAGGUUUUUAAACCUAGUAUAACAAAGCCUCAUGCCGAAUCCCUAGUAGGAAUAUUUGUUUGCAUCACGUGUAUUUGACUUUAGUGACUCAACACAGGGGUUGGGUCUGUCUAGGACAGGUGUACCUGAAAUGAAAAGACCAUCCUGAUGCAUUCUACUAACUACUUGUGCAUUUAUUUACUUCGGAUUGCAUGUUGACCGGCUUUUGAAUAAUAAAGAAAAGUUGGAGAGAGAAAAAUCAAUUUGAGGGCCGAGAGUGAUAAUUACUUAUUUUGAAAAAUCCGAUGUCAAAAAAAUUCCGAAACUCUGUCGAAUUUUUGAAAAAAAGGAGAGAAGAAAAAUUUGUUUCAUAAAAAUAUUUGGUAUUAUUUUUAUUAUGUCAAAAAUGACCGAAUUACGCAAGUUUGGUUCUCACCGAAUGUGGGAUACAUAGGCAACCCUCACCGGGCCCAACUCUAUUUUUGCAAAAAUAACCCAAAAAGAACAAAAAUUUUAUUGUUUUGUCAUAAAUAAGUUAGGUGAUGUCAUUCUUGUCUAAAUAACCAAAUAUCCCCAAAAGAGCGCCAGAAGGCUGCUUUUGCAAUAACAACUACCUAUGGUUUGUUUUUUAAAUUUUUGGUCGAUUAGCAAACACAACCUUAAAAUCUUCGUUCCUGAAGUGCUGAAGGGUCGUACUUCCAAGGCCAGGUUUUUGUUUUGAAAUGAAUUUUUUUGAAAAAUUGAUAAUUUUCUUUUGAGUCAAAAUAAAUCAUGAUCUUUUAACCAAAUCACCCUAAUAAAUGUGCAGGAUGAGCAUAAUUAAAAAUGAACCCUUCGCAGUUCUUGAGAAAAUCCCAUUACAGCUCCAUAUGUGGUGGAAAGACUUAGGAAAAGUCAGCAGAGAGACUGUGGUAAAAGUUUUGGGCGGUCUUGUCGGUUUUCUGAAAAUCAAACCAAGGUUGGAUGUAAUUGAGGCUCUGAUACCUUUUUGGGACCCGACGCAUAAUGUGUUUCAUUUUUCUGAUUUUGAGCUCACCCCCACGCUGGAGGAAAUAACGGGCUGUGCCAGUCUUAGUGGGAAUCUCAGAAGUCGGUACCCGGUGGUGCCAAGAACAAUGACUCCUCACAAGUUUCUAGAUCUGUUGAGCAUUAGUCGGGAAGUUCAAGAUGGAAAUCUAUCCGAAGGAUUUUGCACAUUCCACUUCUUGUACCAGCACUAUGGCAAUCCCCAUGGUUUUGAGGCACCAUAUACUGGCCUAACUCAUUCAGGAAACAAAGAUAAAUAGGAGGCACAGCGGGGUUUGGCUUUUAUAGUGGCAUUCUUGGGUGUCUUAAUCUGCCCAAGAAAAGAUGGAAACAUAGAAUUGGGUCUUGUAGGAAUGGCCGACGUCAUUAUUAAAAAAGCUAAUGGCACCCUUGUUCCAAUGAUAUUAGCGAAGAUUUACCAAGCUUUAACCAUCUGCCGAGAAUGGGGAAAAUUCUUCGAAGGCUGUAACUUGCUCCUACAACUUUAGAUACAAGAACAUCUUUGUCACCGCUUGGGGUACAUGAACUACGGCAUGACUGGUCUGAAUUGCAUUGAAGAGUAUGAAAACUGAGUGGUGGGUUGUGAAUUUCCAAAAGGUACAAAGGCCUGAUUUGCGCAUUUGAGUUCCUUAACUUCGGACAAAAUUGAGUGGACUUUCAGUUAGCUCCCUAUCACUGAAGUCAUUUACAUGUCCGCCGAGGUGUGUUAUAUUCUCUUAAUGGGUCUUCGGAGCAUUCAGCCGUAUGCUCCUACAGGGUGCUGCACCAACUAGGCAGGUUUAAAGCUAUCCCACAUGACGAAGAUCUGAGCCGACAAGUCAUCGAAUUGGGUCCAAAAGCUGUAUUCCUAGAAGGAAAAGUUCGUCAGAUUUGGAAUGAGUGUAGAUUUCUAGAGCCAAAGACUCGGGUGCGGGUUCUAUCUAAAGGCGAGUUAGACCCUAAUUACAUGAUUUGGUAUGGUAAAAGGUUUCAAGUCCCUCGGGAGCCCGAACGGCCUGCUAAAAGACCCCACGUCCAGCAAUUCACUAACGAUUCGCUGGGGCAAUGUGAUUGGUUGGCGAAAGAGGCUAGCUACAGGGCCAAGAUAAGCAAAUUGGAGGGACAAAUUAGGGAUCUCAAAUUUGACAAUAGUGUACAAGCUAUUGCCAAUGAAGGGGAAAAGAAAAAGCUGGCUCAAGAAAACAAAGCCCUUCGAGCCCAGAUCCAAAAAAUGAAAAUAGCUGCUGAGAAUCAGGAAGAAGCCGAGCAGAUGAAAGGCUCAUAAGUGGUCUUAGAAGGAAAGUAUCGGAGUAUCAGGAUGACUUAGAAAAAUCUGAGGUUAAUCUAGCAAGAGCCCGGGCACAUUUGACAAAGAACACAGAGGGGCGGGCGGAGUUUGUACGACAAUUGAAAAGGAAAUAUGAGGGAACGGUCACAAAGUUGAAAAAAAAGCUAACUACCCUCGAAAAUGAGAUGGCCAAACAAGCUAAGAACUUUAAAGCAGAAAGGGAAUAUUGCUAUGCAUUAAUGUCCCAGCUAGAGGAAGAUAUGCAAUAGCUACAGGGUCAAAACCAUCAUGACACCCAAGUGCUAGAAGCUAGGUCUCAGCAAAUCGGGUUUUUGCUCCAAGAAAAGGGUAUCAUCAGGGAGAGGGUUCGAGCAAUUGCUGAUUACAUCACCAUGAAGUGCCAUGAAUGUGAAGACAUGACUAGAAUGACCUUCUUUGCUGCGGUAAUGACCUUUGUUCGUCAAAUAAUGAGUGACCUGGAGGUCUUCAAGGGGAUCUUGCACACAGGCCCGUGGCAAGACCGAUUGAUGUCCUACAGGCCCCUGGAGUAGAAGCACUUAUGUACUCUUGAUUUUCAUUUUGGAGUCUGUACUUCAAUUUUUAGUUUUAAACUGUUUGUAGUUUUAAAUUCCUAGAAAGAGUAUGAUGGAGUCUUGUAAUAGAGAACAAUAGAGUUUUUAUUAAUGAAAAUUGGAAAAUCCCAAAAAUUGUUUCCUUAUUUUUUGCAUUUAUUUUCUUGAACUACGUGAUGAUCUGAUUCACGCAGCGUCAUGAUAUGUAGGCAAUCCUUAUCGGAUCCGCUCAUGAUUUUGUAAAUAACUCAAAUAAAAGAAAAGAAAGAGCCAAUGAAAAACCAAAAGAAAAGCGAGAAAAGCAAUAAAAGAGAGAAAACAAGAAAAGAAAUGAGAGGAAAUCAGGAAUAAGAGGAGAAACAUUAAAGAGCCAAGGUGGAAAGAAAGAAAAAUUGGGGAGAUAAACAAAAGCCGGGAUGAAACACGCAACCAUUGCAAAACAUAUAGAAAACACACUUAGCUGUAUAGGUGCAUCACACCCCCAACGUGCGAUUACCUAUGCAUUAAUUGUCUUACACUAACCGGUUUGUUGUGUUUGCUAUCGAAUAGGUUCUAUAUUAAGGUGGUUGGUUUUGUGGUAAUCUGGCUUCACAUCCUUACUUUACAAGAUCAAAAGGAAGUGUUGAAAUGUCAUCAUAAAGGUCAUCCACCAACGAUUCCCAUCUUAGAGGAUAGCCCACUAUCGGUUAUCCCAACCUCAGAGUCAGCGGCAGCUGAAGAGAAUAGGGCACUGUGCCUCCGCGUGCUAGAAAUGCGGGACACUUGGUCCAAUGGAAGAGAGCCGCCGAGUUCCAUACCCGGUUUCCCCGAGUUGCUUCACAGAGCAAUUGGAAAUUCCAAUGUCCCAAUAAAUUACCUGAAUACCCCACUUAGAUACCCACCAUCUCAGCUCACUUUACCGGAACACCUUCUGAGGUUCGCCCCCGGGUGGUUUCAGGAGUGGCCUCCAACAUAUUUACCGCACCACCAACUUCGGCUGCAGUGCCACCCACUUUUUCCAGAUCCAUCAUCAUUCACUUUCCAAGUACCAUCUUUUCUACCAGAGCCUACCCAGUUCACCACCAAUUCUUACCCUCAACAACCCCGGUACGAGUUUACCGCGGGAUGGGAGAAAACUACCAAGAACCCCGAGUAGGAGAAAAUCACUCGGAAGAUGAGGAGCAUGGAACAAAGCCUUAAGAAUAUACAAGGUUUGAGCGGACAAAAGAGCAUAUCUUACGCUGAUCUAUAUAUGUUCCCGCAUGUGCAUUUGCCUUUGGGUUUCAAGACCCCAAAGUUCGAAAAGUAUGACGGGCAUGGGGAUCCCAUUGCCCACCUCAAGAGGUACUACAAUCAACUGAGAGGAGCAGGUGGAAAAGAGGAGCUUCUCAUGGCUUAUUUUGGAGAGAGUCUAGUGGGCAUUGCUUCCGAGUGGUACAUGGAUUAGGACAUGUCUCGUUGGCAUAUUUGUGAUGAUCUGGCCCGAGAUUUUGUCAGGCAGUUUCAAUAUAACAUAGACAUAGCUCCCGACAGGAAUUCUCUGUCGAAUCUCAAGAAGAAGUCAUCGAAAAGUUUCCGAGAAUAUGUUGUUAAAUGGCGCGAACAAGCGGCCAGGGUCAAACCCCCGAUAGAUGAAACGGAAAUGGUGAGUGUCUUCCUACAAGCCCAAGAGGCUAACUACUUUCAGAACAUGAUGUCUGCAAUGGGAAACCGUUUGUUGAGGCCAUCAAUAUUGGUGAGAUGGACGAGAAUGAUCUGAAAAUAGGGUGCAUAUUGAGCAAUCUGCCAUAAGAGUUACAUCUCAAGCAAUUCAAGGCGGCUCCGGAGGUGUAGAAAAUAGAAAGAAGAAAGAAUAGGUGGCAAUGGCAGCCUCAAGUUUGAGAAACCCCUGUCCACCCAGAGGUUACUUCCCUCCAAGCACCCCACAACAUUAUUAUCCCCAUAAGGAUGUGGCCUAUACUAUGGCUCCUCAGCCGCAUGCAGUAAUGAACGCUCAGCCAUAUGCUCGGCCAUUACAGCAGUUUAACCAAAACAGAGCUCCACCUCCUAGAAAUAACCCUCCCAACCAAAUUCAGUAUAAUCCUCGACCUCCACAAAAUAAUUUCCCCUACAAUGCCCGUUCUCGGGAGCCACCUAGGAGAACAAACUUCACGCCUAUUGGUGAGUCAUAUUCUAGCCUUUUCCCUAAACCGGUCCAAAUGGGUUUGCUACAACCCGGAACCCCCAAUAGGCAAAACCCAGAGUCACCUUCUUACCGACCUGGCACCCAAUGUGCCUACUAUUCUGGGGUGAAAGGACAUGACACUGAAGACUAUUGGACUCUAAAAAGGGCUAUUGAAAACCUCAUAGAGCAAAAACGGAUAGUGCUGAAAGAUGAAGAAAUUCCUAAUGUGACCAACAACCCAUUACCGGCUCACAACAACAGGCCCGUUAUUGGGAUGAUUUGUGAAGAUAAAGAGUUUGAUCCUGCCUUGAAAGCCAUCAUUGCAAUCGCUGACAUCGAGAAAAAGGCAAAGGCUGAUGCAAAGCAAGAAAAGGGGGAGAAGAAGAGUAAGCCUACCCCUCAAAACAUAGAAAAGGCAGUGGAAACCAAAACUGAGGCAGUACCCUUGAAAGAUGCCAUUCUUUAUGUUACCCGGGGUCACAGGAAAGAACAAAUGACAUUGAGCCCUCCAAGAAGGUUCGAGCUGAACAAGGGAUCUAAGAUGUACGUUCCUAAAGGGACCUAUGUGGUACGGGGGACAGUAAUUUUGACCAAGGAUGAAUGAGCCCGUGGUUAUUCGCCGCGCACCAUAGAGGCCCAUGACAGACCCCAUUGCUGUCCCGUGGAAUUUUAACAAGGCGGUAGUAACCUACAAAGGAAAAGAGGUCCUGGGAGAAGCAAAUGAAACUAACCCAGCUGAGAAAUACCUUAACAUGGGAGAAGUGAACAAUGCCAAGCAGAAACGCUUCCCGAUCAAAAAGCUAGUUAAUGCCGAAGAAGCAGAAGAAUUCUUUCGAAAAAUGAAAACUGCGGACUAUGAGGUAAUAGACCAACUUCGGAAGUCUCCUUCACAAGUUUCACUCUUGUGUCUACUGGUAAGCUCAACCGAGCAUCAGGAAGUGUUGAUAAAACCCUCAAUAAAGCUUAUGUUCCAAUUGAAACCACUGUUGAACAACUGGAGAGGAUGGCGAAAAGAUUCUUCGCAGUCAAUCAUAUUUCCUUUAGCAAGAAUGAUUUUCCCCCAUAAGGGGCCGCCCUCCAUCUGACUAUUAAAUAUGAGGGGUACUAUAUGAAGAGAGUCAUGCUGGAUGGCGGAUCCGGAGUUGAUAUUUGUCCUCUCUCAACUUUGCAAAGAAUGGAGAUUGGGACUGAGAGAAUCAGGCCUAACAAUGUCUGUGUGCUUGCCUUUGAUGGCAUCAAGAGAGAUACCAUAUGAGAGAUCGAUUUGAUUUUGACUAUUGGUCCUGUGGAUUUCAAGGUGACCUUUCAGGUCCUAGACAUGGACACUUCCUACAAUUUCCUCUUGGGAAGACCUUGGAUUCAUGCGGCGGGGGCCGUACCUUCCACUCUCCACCAGAUGGUGAAAUUUGAAUAUGAAGAUCAGGAGAUUGUAGUCCAUGGAGAGGACGAGCAGUUGAUUUAGCGGGACCCGUCAGUCCCAUGUCUCGAAGCUAGAGAAGGUAGUGAACAUAUAGUUUAUCAAGAUUUUGAGGUGGUGGUCGUAGAUCAAUAUGAGGAGGGAAGCCCUUGGCCUCAGCCUUUUCUGUCAAAUGCAUCCAUCAUGGUCGUUACUGAAAUGAUCAAGCAUGGUUAUAAACCUGGGAAGGGACUCGGGGCAUCAUUGCAAGGCAUCACAAAACCUAUCAUUUUGCCUACCAGCGAGAAGUUUUUCGGUGCGGGUUUUCAUGCCACAAGAGCUGAUGUGACAUGGGCAGAUGAAUGAAAGAGCAAUGAUUGGGUCUUACCUCAACCGGUUCCACAUCUCUACAAAACAUUCGUCAGGCCCGAGUAUGAUGAAGAAGAUGAAGAUGAGGCCUUCACGGCCGAGGAAAUUGAAGAAAUAUGUAGGGCUAUAAGGCAGAUGUUGUAUGAAACCCAUAUGGUUCAGUCGGGAGAAGGCUCGAGCACCGCUGAGGUGCUGUAUAUGGGGCCCAAUGCCAAGUUGCAAAACUGGAAGGCUACUCCGUUCCCAGUCAGGCGGGAAUCCCGGUAGUCCAGUCUUGCCACCUUUUCUACAUCACUAGUUAUUUCAGGGUGUAACUCAGAUGUUUUCUUUUAGUUUAUUUUCUUUAAAUUUCAAUGUAAACCCUAUUAUCUUCAAAAUUCAAUGAAAUGAAAUCAAUAUUUCAUCGCUCAUCUCUCUUUAUUCUUCCUGAUUUUUGUUACUUUUUCUUAUUUCUUCUUUUAGUUCUAAUAAUGUGGCUUUAAAUACAUGCUUGUGGACUUCAUGCCCAGAUCCAAACAUGCUGUCUCAUUGUAAAAUAAUGAACCAAGAACCGGAAUACGAUGAAGAAGAGGCUUUUAGAGAAAUAAACCGAGAAUUGGAAUAAUUUGAGAAUAAAUCUAAGUCGAACUUAAAUGAAACUGGACGGUUAAUUUGGAUAGUUCUAAAGAAGUCCAAAAACUAUGGUAAGCAUUNNNNNNNNNNNNNNNNNNNNNNNNNUGUCGAUUUGGUAGUCCAUAAGUUGCCGACUUACCCCGAUUGUCCCCCUGUCCAGCAAAAGCAGAGGAAGUUUAAAACUGAUAUCAAUGACAAGAUCAAAGAAGAGGUCACAAAAACAGUUGAAGGCGGGAGUGAUCUGAGUGGUCCGAUACACCACAUGGCUGGCCAAUGUAGUUUCCGUGCCAAAGAAAGACGGGAAAACCCGAGUGUGACUUGACUAUCGAGAUUUGAACAAAGCAAGUCCCAAGGACAAUUUCCCUUUGCUAAACAUUCACAUCCUUGUUGAUAACUGUGCCAAACAUGAGAUACAGUCUUUUGUGGAUUGUUAUGCAGGAUAUCAUCAGGUGUUGAUGGAUGAAGAGGAUGCUGAAAAGACAACCUUCACUACACCCUGGGGCACCUAUUGUUACAGGGUCAUGCCUUUUGGUUUGAAGAAUGCCGGGGCAACUUAUAUGAGGGACCUGAUUGCCAUCUUUCAUGACAUGAUGCAUUAAGAAAUCGAAGUGUAUGUGGACGAUGUGAUCAUCAAAUCCAGAACACAGGACAACCAUGUUCGGGACCUGAGAAAGUUCUUUGAGCGGCUGCGUAAGUAUGAUUUGAAGCUAAAUCCAGCUAAAUAUGCAUUUGGGGUUCCAUCUGGCAAACUCUUGGGAUUUAUAGUCAGUCGAAGGGGCAUCGAGCUAGACCCAACAAAGAUAAAGUCUAUUUGGGAUUUGCCUCCUCCAAGAACCAAGAAAGAGGUUAUGAGCCUGCUGGGAAGAUUGAACUACAUUAGUCAGUUCAUUGCUCAGUUGACAUCCACAUGUGAGCCCAUAUUCAAGCUGUUGAAUAAAGAUGCGGCAAUUAAAUGGACAAAUGAGUAUCAAGAAGCCUUUGACAAAAUCAAAGAAUAUUUGUCGAACCCGCCAGUCUUGGUCCUACCUGAACUGAGGAGGCCUUUGUUUUUGUACCUGACAGUCUUGAAAAAUUCCUUCGGCUGUGUCCUCAGGCAACACGAUGUGACAGGGAAGAAAGAACAGGCAAUCUACUAUUUGAGCAAAAAGUUCACAAGUUAUGAAGCCAAUUAUGCCCUGUUGGAAAAGACUUGUUGCGCCCUAACUUGGGUCGCUCAGAAGCUUAGGCAUUACCUGUUAGCCUAUACCACUUACCUCAUCACUAGGCUGGAUCCUUUAAAGUAUAUAUUCCAAAAGCCGAUGCCCACAGGGAGGUUAGCAAAAUGGCAGAUCCUGCUCACUGAAUUUGACAUAGUCUAUGUCACCCGCACGACAAUGAAAGCCUAGGCUUUAGCAGAUCACCUAGCUGAAAACCUUUUUGAUGAUAAAUAUCAACCUCUGAGUACUUACUUUCCGGAUGAGGAGGUGAAUUCAAUUGAGGUAACUUCAAGACACCAAUACUUGGAAAAUGUUCUUCGAUGGAGCUGUAAACGCAAAAGGUGUCGGGAUUGGGGCAAUUUUGAUCUCACCCACUGGUGAACACUAUCCAGCCACAACCCGACUUCGAUUUUUCUACACAAACAACACCAAUGAGUAUGAAGCCUGAAUUAUGGGUAUGAAUAUGGCAAUCAACCAAGAUGUGGAAGAAUUGUUGAUCAUGAGAGAUUCAGACUUGAUUAUCCGACAAGCUCAGGUGGAUGGGAAACUCGGGAUGUCAAACUUAUUCCCUACAGACAACAUUUGGAAAAUCUUAGCAAGCGGUUCAAGUCAGUUGAGUUCAGGUACAUUCCUUGCUUUCACAAUGAGUUAGCCGAUGCACUUGCUACUUUGGCCUCGAUGUUACCGUAUCCGGGCAAUCUCUAAAAUGACCCUUUGGAAAUCUAAAUCUGAGAAAGGCAUGGUUACUGCAAUACGGUCAAGGCGGAACCAAAUGAUCAACUAUGGUAUCAUGAUAUCAAGAGAUUUUUGAAAACUAAAGAAUACCCCAAGCAAGCCAAUGGAGACCAAAAGAGAACCAUUAGAUGGCUCGCAAGCGGUUUCUUCUUGAGCGGUGAGGUCUUGUACAAAAGGACUAGAGAUCUCAACUUGUUAAGAUGUGUCGACGCCGAAGAGGCUGGAAGAAUCAGGCAUGAAGUGCACAUAGGAGUUUGUGGACCCCACAUGAAUGGGUACGUCUUGGCAAAGAAAAUCCUCCGAGAAGGCUAUUACUGAAUGACUAUGGAAAAAGAUUGCUUCAGUUUUGUCUAGAAAUGUCAUCAAUAUCAGGUGCACGGUGAUCUGAUUCAUGCACUACCUACAAAAUUGCAUCCUAUGUCAGCGUCGUGGCCGUUAGUUUGUUGGGGUAUGAACGUCAUUGGGCCGAUCGAGCCAAAAGCUUCAAAUGGGAAUAGAUUCAUAUUGGUCUCCAUCGACUACUUCACAAAGUGGGUCGAAGCAAUUACUCUCAAAGUUGUCACUAAGAAAGUUGUGGUAGACUUCGUGCACUUUACUAUCAUCUUUUGGUAUUCCUGCAACUAUCAUUACUGAUAAUGCUGCAAACUUGAAUAGUAACUUGAUGAGGGAGAUAUGUGAGCAGUUUAAAAUCACACAUCGGAGCUCUACCUCUUAUCGGCCCAAAGCUAAUGGUGUUGUUGAAGCAGCAAACAAGAACAUCAAGAAGAUUCUGAGAAAGAUGAUCCAAAGUUCCAGGCAAUGGCAUGAAAAGUUGUCGUUUGCAUUGUUGGGAUAUCACACUACUGUGCGCACAUCAGUCAGAGCAACCCCAUAUCUAUUGGUUUAUGGCACUGAAAUCGUAAUACCCGCCGAGGUUGAAAUUCCAUCUCUUCGAAUCAUUGUUGAGUCUGAAAUUGAGGAUAGUGAGUGGGUCAAGACUCGUCUAGAAUAGUUAAUCCUUAUUGAUGAAAAGUGAAUAGCCGCAGUCUGCUACGGGCAGUCGUAUCAACAAAGAAUGGCCCGUGCCUACAACAAGAAAGUACGGCCUAGGAACUUUAAAGUGGGGAAACUCAUUUUAAGGCGCAUUCUCCCUCACCACCAGGAAGCAAAGGGAAAAUUCGCUCCCAACUGGAAAGGCCCGUACAUUAUAAGGAAUGUGUUGCCAAAAGGGGCAUUGUACUUGGGCGACAAUGAAGGAAAUGAUCUCGAAAUAGCAGUAAAUGCAGACGCGGUCAAAAGAUACUACGUUUAACUCGUUUGUGGUACCAAUAUUAUCUGAUUGGGAUGACGGAAGCUUUCAUUCACACUACCCCAAACACUCCAAUCCUUUGCUAAAACUUUGAGCCGGUUACCUUUCUUUUAGUACCCUCUUUGGAACCUGAAAACGUUUGUCUGAAAAAAAAUUAAAACAAAAGAAAAGAAAAAACAACAAAACAAAAUAUUCCCUAAACUACGUUUGACUUGAUUCCGAAAGGAUACAUACGCAGCCUCUCUCUAGGGUUCAGUCACACCAAAACAAAAAUCCAAUUUCCCCCAAAAGUGAAACUAGGGCAGAUGUUAUAAUGGUUCAGCGAUGGUUCUCCAUAAAGGUUCCAAAGUUGUAAUUCAAUCCAAACUCUUUUUACCCUAAACCCUGUUCAAGUCCUGUCGACCAAUCAAUGAGAAUGUUCAAGAAUCAUAGAACACAACUAUUUGGAUCUGAUGCAAUCAAGAUGAGAGAAAUAAAAUGAGAGAGUCUUAUUGGUGAAAACCCAUACGAGCACCGUAAGGCGAUGAUGAGUAGAGAAACUAAAAAAUGAGAGAGUCUUGUUAGUGAAAACUCGCAAAGAGCACUAUAAGGCGACAGUGAGAAGAGAAAUGAGAGAGGUCAAUUGGCGAAAACCCGAAAAGGGUGCCGUUGAUCGAAAAGAAGGACUCCCUUACAACCAUUGGCACUGAAAGAAUCCUAGUAAGGUUUCCCGUUUUUAAAACACGGGUCAUAAUGGGUUUAUGAGAAGUUGGAUAGUUGCACAGAUCGGGUAACCAGUCCAAGAAGCAUGUCAUGUCUAUUGAAGUCUGCGUGAACUCGAGAUAAGUCCUUCUUUCCUUCCCCGAAAGGGACACUUCUCUUUAAUUCAUUAUCCUAUACUUUCUUUACUUUUCUUUGAAUCCCUUUAGGUUUAAUCCUCUUUCGAAACUAAUCGAAAGAAAACAUGGCAAGAUUGGUUUUAUAGGUUUCUGUUCAACAAAAUCUAAAAUUCAAGGAAAAGCACACAGCCUCAGCAGGUGCAUCAAGUCGAUCUCGACUGGCCUUGAUGACCGAUGCACCAGAGUCAAAAACUCUUGAAAAGGAAAUAAACCCAAAGUCAGGUUACCAUAAAGGCAAAAUAAGAAAGGCCAAGGCCCCACACGGGUUAACCGUCAUGCAAAAUCUUGGGAAAAGUCAAGAUACCCCGUUUUGGAAGAGAAAUCAGUCUCCAGAAAACAAGCAAGUGGUAAAGGAUUUCAACGAAAGAGUUGGGCAGAGAUCAAGUGAUCAAAACAAUCAAGGCCAUAAAACCAACCACCGUUUCAAACUGACAAAUUGUUCUUUGAUUUGAAAACAGGUGAAAUCUAAGAAAACCUCGCAAGAAACAGGUGCAAUCUAAGAAAAACUCGCAAGAAGCAGGUGCAAUAAAAGCAAAGAGCGCAGAGACCAGAAUGGUCCCCCAUGCAGAAGUUAACCCGAAAAGGAAAGUCCCUUCCAAACUCUUCAUGCAUUCUCUUGAAUAAAGUAUUAAAAGUGAAAUGAAAAUAGGAAGAAGAAAAUUUCCAAAAUCAUGGUAGCCUAGGGUCCCCAAUCUCUAGCUACGUCUUUUCCAACAUAGGGUCCCACUCCCUAGUUGAUUCCCGACAUAACCCGUGGAUCUUUUCCUUUUCCGGCAUAACCCGAUGACCUUUCCCAGCAUAACCCGUGGACCUUUUCUUUUCCGGCAUAACCCGAUGACCUUUCCUGGCAUAACCCAUGGACCUCCCAGCAUAACCCGAGGACCUUUUCUAGCAUAACCCAAUGACCUUUUCCGGCAUAACUCGUGGACCUCCCCGGCAUAACCCGAGGUCUUUUUUAUUUUUUGGCAUAACCCGAUGACUUUUCCAGCAUAACCCAUGGACCUCCCUGGCAUAACCCGAUGACCUUUUUAUUUUCCAGCAUAACCCGAUGACUUUCCCAGCAUAACCCGUGGACCCCCCUCCCCCCCGGCAUAACCCGAGGACAUUUUUAUUUUCUAGCAUAACCCGAUAACUUUUCUGGCAUAACCUGUGGACCUCCCCGACAUAACCCGAUGACCUUUUCUUUUCCGGCAUAACCCGAUGACUUUCCCUCCAUAACCCAUGGACCUCAUCGGCAUAACCCUAUGAUCUUUUCUUUUCUGGCAUUACCUGGUCAUCUUUCCAGCAUAACCUGGCGACCUUUCCAAUUUAGGGCCCCAAUCCCUAGUUGAGGUCAUUAUAGAUAUAGGGCUCCACUCCUUAAUCUCUUAUCCUAAGGAUACAUAAUCCUGAUUUAACUGCUUCCAAUAAAAAAAUAGUUUAGAUUUUGUUACAAUAACUCACGAUUUUUUUUUAGUGAAAACUAGUGCAGAAAAAUUUCAUUCGUUUGUUUGUUUUGGUGCCUGGAUAGUUUUUUUUACCGUGAGGCACAAGGUUUGAGAUGACCAAAAGAAGAAGUCUAGACCCAAAUAAAAAGAAGAAACAAGAAAAGAAAUUGGACUCUAAGCGCAGGAGCAGAGAAAAGAUACAGACCGCACAGGAUAAGAUUUGCAUUGUCCCGCCUUGAUCCGAAAAGCUGAAGAAGAGUGAACCAGCAGUUGCAGCUAAUGAGCAUUAAGAUUCAGAUCAGAGCCUGCAGGAAGAACCAGCCAAGACUUAAGAUCAAGUUUUAGAAGGUUAUAGAUAGGAAUCUUGUAACUCGUAGUUGAUAGGCUUAGCUAGGUUAGCUUUUUAUCUUUCAUUUUGGUAUAAUAAGGAGCUCAGCAAGCGGAAACAACAACAACAGUGAAAUCACAGUUUUUCGGUAGUCCCAGCUACCAAAAACUUUCAGAACUACACUGACCUGAUUCCUUUAUAGCCAAAGAUAUGUAGGCAACCUCUGAAGCAAGGUUCGGUCAGGCUUUUUUCAAAAAUGAUUCCUAUGGAGUUUCAAACGGGCAAAAAUCCCUUAUAAUUACUCAUUUUGUCUUUGCCCGAAAACCCAUCGCGUUUCCGAGCAAACAGGGGCAGCUGUGAGCAUGUGAUUUUUGCCCUGUAAGAGAUACUCCUAUAAAAUCCCAAGAAAAAAUAGAUUUUUUGUUAAUUGUUUGCCAUUUUAGGAUUUUUUGUAGAAUUUUUUUAAUUGUUUGCAUUUUUCUGUGCAUGUUUAAUUUUUAUUUAGAUCAUGAAAAAUACCAAAAAUGUCAUGCAUCGCAUUUAGGAUUUUGUUUUUACAUUUUUAGAAUUAGUCAGUAAUUAUUUGCUUUAUAAAAUUUGAAAAUCACAAAAAAUACCUCAUUUUUACAUUUUUGUUUUAAUUUUUAGUUUAUUGAGUUUUCCCCUUUUAAUUUAGAAUUACUUGAUGAUUACAAUUUUUAUAAUUAGCUAAUUAUUUUAGUUUCACCCUUUAGAUAAUUUAGGAUUUUUAAUUAUUAGAAUUUUUUUUAAUUAAAAAAAAAGAAAGAAAGAAAAGAAUUUGAAAAUAAAAGUAGAGAAUUAUAAGAGAGUUAAUUUUCUGAAUUGGACCAAUUUCAAUCUCCCAAAUCAGCCGAAAUUUUGCCCAAAACCCAGGCCCAACCCCUGCCAAACCUGGUCCAGCCUUCCCUUGCCCUCAAACGACCACAUUUUGAUUACACCACGUCACAUCCGUUGGAUUUUGAUCAUCCAACGGCUCGGAACUCACAAUCCAAUAAUUAUAAAACUGUCCGAAAACCAUACCCCCCAGUUGAACCCUUUCACUUUCCAUCUCUCUCUAUAAAACACCCAAACCUUAGUUGUCCUUUAAUCCCACGCCGCCUCCACCGUAAACUACCGCCGAAAAUCGCCUCACGGCGGUUCCGAUGGUCAAAUCGUCCCCAAAAUAACACCAAGAACUUCCCUUUACCUCCCCAUUCCAAAUCUCCACUCCUUUUCUCUCGAACCACUGCCAAUUUCUUCGAAUCUUAAAUCGAAAGACACGGCCAAAACCCUAGUUAUUCCAAAUCCUACCAAAUUAACACCCUACAACCCUUACUCCUCUCUAAGCCCUAAAUUACCUUUAUCCCCUUCCAAAUCGCCCCCAAUUUGCCCGAAUUUUAGAUCUUAAAUUCAUAAGCCCUAAAAAACCUUUGCCUAAAUUGAUUCCGGGUUUUAAUGGCUCUAUUCUGCAUGAGUCAAAUUGCUUUUGAUGAGAGCAGUUGACUCAUGUGGUUUGGACCUAUUGUUCGAAGUGGCUUGACUCCGACCAAGUCCUCCGGCUCCAAUUGUUUUAUUCUAGGUAAUUUUCCAAGUUUUUCUUUCUAUCUUAUUCUCCUUUUUCUUUUCUCCUGGCCACUUCUUUCUCUUUUCUUUUGUAUGAUUUUCCUUUGAGUUUUGUUCUGUCUGCAAAUUGCAUGUUCUAGUUUUCUUGUUUUGCAUUUGGCCAUUAGGAAUUGAUAGUGAUGUUUUAGGUUUUGUUUUUAGUUUGGCUUGUUUUGUUACUCAGUUUCCUCCGUAAUUUUAUUUUUUCUUCUAGUUUCUUUUCCUUUCUCCUAAUUACAUUUCUGACUAGUGCAUGUUUAGGCUAAUUUCAGAUUUUGUUCACAUGUUCAGUUGUUUAUUUGUUUUCGAUUGGUUAAAAACAUGUUUGAAUCUUGAAUACUCAAAUUGCAUGAUUUUGAAUCGGUUCCACUAUUUUUCUUUGAAUAUUUUCCUGCUAUCUCCUUGUCUUUUCCUUCUCUUUUUAGAUGCCAUAACUCGGUUUUUUGUUUAGAGAACUUCUUCUUUUAGGGAAUAAUAUAGAUUUUAAUUCUAGAUGGUAGUCUCAUGAUCCUUCUAGUCUUUUGAUUUAGAUUUUUGAUCUUCUUUAGGUUUGUUUAUAUUGGCCCUGAUGUGAAAAUUAGUAGAAACUUUAGGGACCCAUUUGAAUUAGAAAAGUAUAGGUUAAGACAGAAAUAAGUAGUAACCUAAAGGGUAAAAAGGGUUUUACUUAAGCUGAAAUAAGAAAUUUCUAGAAAAUGUAUAGUUGUCCUAGCUGUUAUAAAAAUGUGCUAAAAUAUAGGACAACUAUACUAAGGGCUGUUAAAAGAACUACACUAUUAUUCCUUAGGAUAAAGAAUAUGCUUAAAAGAUACCUUCCCCAUAGGCAACCUAUAUAUAGGCUCAAUCAUUCUGAAAAAAUACAGAUUUGGAUAUAGAUUUUUUCAUACGGAUUCAGCUUCAAUAUUCUGCAAAAAAUCCCUCAAAUCACAACAUAUUUUUCAGAAAUCUUAAAACUCUAAAACUCCUCAUUUUGCUUCUGAAGUUGGGAAUGGUUUGAAAUUGGGAGUUUCUUGGUUCAGUUGGUCAUUUUUUGGGUUCAAGUGUUUGAUUUUGGGUCUGAAACUUGGUUUUUGGUAUGUUGUGGCUCCUGUCCUGUUGUUGCUCCUUCUGGUUAAAGUUUUAGCCAGUUCUUGCACCUUUUAGUUGUUGUGUUGUUGCUAUUGUGCAAGGUACUGAAUUUCAUUCUCCCCAUGCAAUAUUUGUUAUUAAAGAAUUGUGAAAUCAGUUGCAUGUAAAUGAUGUUUGGUGCAAAUGAAUGUCUUUUUUAUGAUAGUAUUUAGCCUUAAUGAUAUGAAUAUAGUUGAAUCUUGAACACGUGAGUUUAGAUUUUGAGCAUGAGCAAGUUGAUCUAUGUCUGAAUGUUUUAUGAGUUUCGAUCCUGCAAAGUUAACCAUUAGGGCUGAUUUUGAGUUUUUAGUCAGUUUCUUACCUUUUGUUUUUAAAUAUAACUCUCCCUUUUAUUUAAAUCCUUUUGUUUGUCCUUUGUUUGUUCUGUUAUAAGCUGAUACCAACAGAUUUGGCUAUUUAUUGGCCAAAUCAGCAGGUGUAAAGGCUAGAAAUUGGAGUUUACGCCAUGCUAACACAAGAGGGGACCAAGCUCUAAUGGACAAACCAUGUCCAAAAGAGGAGGGAUUCUUCAGGAUAUUAGUUAUCCAAGAUCUGUAAUAGAUUAGCUUUAGUAUAACUUAGUUUAUGUAUUCCAUAGGUAUUAAUGUAAUUUUAGAGUUUUCUUAAUUUAUUUGAAGAAUGUAAUGGUUAUUUUUAGUUUUCAUGUUUUGAUUAACUAUAUUUAGGAAUUCAGUUAUGUAUUUCUCAUGCCUUACAAAACAGUAGUGAUGUAGAGGAGCUGGGCUUCAAGCCCACUUAGUGGAACUAAUUUUUUUUGUUUGUUCAAUAAGAAAGAAUGGGGCUGAACCUGCAGCCCAAUCGAAAGACCAACCUCAAAUGGUUUGGGCCUAGUCUAUAGGUCCAAAGCUUUGAGUCAGUCUCAUAAGCCAUCCUUUCCUCCUUAAAUCGCAAUUCUUUUAUUACAUUGCAAAUAUCAGUUGAUUAAUUUUCUUUAAAAUUAGAAUCAGGUUGGUAAAAAUGAGUCUUCUAAUUAUGAUUGCAUUUUUGUUUGUUUUGUUUUCUGAUUGAAGUGAAUCAUUUUUCCUUGUAAUUUCUCUAGCAGUUUGGGUAAGUUCAGAACACAAAGGUAGAUAGGCCCAGGCGUUAACUGAGGCCCGCCUGGAUAAGCCCAAUGUGGGUGAAUUUGUUCGAAAUUCAGACUUGGGCAGAAACUUGAGGUUUCCUUCUCCACUAGGCUAAUUCACGAGCCCAAAUACAGCCUUUACAGCUGAUUCGUCCAAGUGAGGAGCUAUAGCUGGCCCAUUCCUUUUGUCCAAAAUAAUUAAAAAUCUUUCAUAAUCAUUUAGCCUUUGUUAAGCUUAAGUUAGUCUCAAAUAGGAAUAUCCUAGAUGACCUUAAUUAAAUAAGUUUCUUCUAAAAUCAUUUGAGGUGUGCCAUGUUUAAAACUCAUAAUAUAUGGCCCUCAUGAACUUAAUUAAAACUUGUAAAAUUGAGGUGUGCCAUGUUAAAUAAAACUCCUAAGCCCGUGGUCCUCAUAAAACUAGUUAGCUUUUAUAGAAAAAUUUGAGGUGUUCCAUUUUAAUUAAGUAACUCAUGGCCCUCAUGUAAUUAAUUCAAACCUUUCUAAAAUCGGGGCGUGCCAUCAAUUAAUUUUCCAUGACCCUCGCAAACAUUGUUUGUAAUUUGAACCUUCGUAGUUGCUUUAGACAUGUUCUUUAAAUUGAUUUUUAAUUACUAAAUCCGGGUGUGCAUUUCAUGUGACCCGAUUCUAAUUUACAACAAGGUUAAAUAGAACGUGCCGUGAACCGCGGGUGCUAUUCAUGUAGAGUGGCUUACGAUGUGUUUUAAAUAACCUUGAGGUUUCCUAAAAUAUUAAAAGCGGCUAAAAAGUAAAAAAUGCACAAUAGGUUUAAAAGUGUUUUAAAAUCAUAUAAAUAGGCUAAUAAUAAUAGUUGAGCGACCGUGCUAGAACCACGGAACCCGGGAAUAACUAACACCUUCCCCCGGGUUUAUAGAAUUCCUUAUCUAGAAUUUCUGGUUCGCAGACUUUAAAAUGAAAGUCAAAUUUCCUCGAUUUGGGAUUUAAAAUAAAUCGAUGGCUUGGGACACCAAAUAAAAUAUUCCAAGUGGCGACUCUGAUAAAUAAAUAAUACCAUUUCGAAUAAUGUCACUUUAAUUGGAAAAACUACUAUAUACCCUCGGGUGGUAAAAAGGAGGUGUGACACAUAGUGGAGGUCUUACUUUUGUGGUUGUGCAGUUGUCUUUGUUUAUGCGCAUCAAAGCUUGUUAGUGUGAUGAUUUACAUUUGCUUAUCCUUACAGACAUGGUUUGUUGGGUGGUGCUAAGGAGGUGGUCCUUAAUGAAUCAGUGUGUUGUAACUUCAAGGUCGGAUUUGUAUUUCCAGUGUUGAUGGUUCGACAGAGAUGAUCCUUGAGGAGGCUUGUAGUUUGUGGUAUUUUGUUCAUACGGAUAAUACAGAGAUGUAUCGUGUUUCGAUGCAGCAUUAUGGGUGGCGAAGGAUGAAGAAGGGCAAUAUUAGGCAUGUCUCGUGGUGUUGAUUAUCAGUAUGUCGAAAAUGAGCAUUAGAGACUGAGUUGUUUACUUGAGAAGGUAAGCUACACCCGUAUAGAAGUGGGGGUGUACCGUUAUGGACUUUGUGGUUGGGUAACCACAUGCUUUGAGGAAGGUUGGUGCGAUUUGGGUCAUUGUAGACAAAUGACUAAGUCUGUGCAUUUCAUUUUGGUAAUGAAUUCUUAUAAUAUUUGGAGGAGUUUGAAUUUGACAAGAAGGGUUUGCUUGAGCUACAAAGGGAACAUGAAUGCUUAAUUGUCAUCUUUGUGUACUAUGCAGUCUUGAAUUUUGAAUGUGUUGAUGGAUCUUUCGAUUUUUCAUUGACGAAAAAAAUAAAUUUUUAUUUAUUGUGUACGAGUGUAGAUUGGGGAGAAUUAAUUGAUUACAUAGUAGUGGUGCUCAUGGAAAGGUCAUAGAAAUAUUUGAGGCUACGCAGGUGAGGCUAUCUCCUAUGAGAAGGUUAGAGGUACGUGUGACACCCUAGGCGAAUCCCACAUUAACAAAAUACAUAAGAGAUGCUAGGUAUAUAAGUAGACACGCCUUAGACUCUAGUAACGCAUUUUAAAGCCGUGCGGUAUUAGGCCCAAAAUGUACAAUAUCACUAGUGGGAUGGGCUAUUACAUAUGGUAUCAGAGCCACUCCACGUGUAACCUUGAACAACGGUGAGGCAAACCUCAGUGAGGACGGUGAGUUCCUAAGGGGGUGUAUAUGAUACCCUAGGCGAAUCCUACAUCGAUAAAGCCGUGCGGACCUAGGCCCAAAGCGGACAAUAUCACUAGUGAAAUGGGUUGUUAUAGUAAAUUUUGUUAUGAGGUUGCUAUGAAGAUUUGUACCUUCUAUACAAUGGGAUAUAAGUACUAUAGUGUGAAUCUAGAUUUCUUGAGGUAGAUGGCACGACUGUCACGAGGUUGAGUAAGCAUUUGGUAUGAUAAUAUGGGGUGUGUUAUGGUUAGGCAACAUGAGCUUAUGAGAAAUUCGGUUGAGUAACACUAUGAGGUUAUGGUAACUGAGGAAGAAGGGUUAUUGUGAGUUCUUGGGUUAUGUGAUUGUGGUUUAAAGCUAGGUGGGGGAGCCUACCAUUGACGAUUAGAUCACAUGGUCAUAUAUGGUUGUAGUCCUGGACUUUGGUGCGCUUAUGGGUUAGUUAUGGCUUGAGGAGAAUGAAUUCGAGAAUAAUUCAGGCAAGGAAUUUGCUGGAGGCGUGUUAUAUUCACCUUAUUGUUAUUUAGAGGUCGUGGAAUGGCUCAAGUUGGAUAGUACUCCUUUGUGGAUAUAAUAUGUAAAGGAAAGGGAUUUGACCCGGUUAUUUCUUUUUCGAGUAUUCAUAUGUUGUCAUUGCACUAGUCGUUCAACAGGAUUGGCUAUGUAUUAGGGAUUGGGUCAGAGUGACUGACACUCGAGGAUGGUUCUAGUGAGUUCAAGGUUCAAGUUAUGGUACCUAAGGAUUAUCAAAUUCGUCGUAUGGUUGAGGAGUUGAUAUUAACGUCAGAUUAUGGAAGAGACUAGGGGUAAUUUUGCAACAUUUUCGGUUAUGUGAGGUAGUGUUCGAGAGACGAAAGGAACGACUUCAGAUUCAUAGAAGAUCUCUUUAGAUCAUGUAUUUGGGAUUGAGUUACUAUUGAGUGUAUAAGAGGGAAUACAAUGGUUUAACAGUCUUAGGACGACGAUAUUUCAUGUUGGGAUCACUUGGUAUGAGUUUUUAUUGAGGUCCAUAGUGUACUAUGAAAGAGAAGUGUUGUCAUGAAGGCGGAUCAUGAGUAACCUGAAGAAGUUAGGUCCAUUUAGUAGUGACUUAGAUCAACAUAGUAAUAGAGAUGAUCAAUUCUUUUUGUAUAAUAGGGCUUUACAUAUGUCUUGUGAUAAUACGCUUAGUGUUUGGCAAUCUACACGACUUGGUUGAUUUAGAAGAAUUCAAUUCUGAUGGCUUGGUUAUGAAAAUAGAUUUCGAAUAGUGGUGAUGAUUUGAUCACGACUUGAGGUUGAUGUAUUCUACGUGUAUUAAGAGGUUGUUACAUGUUGUGAUUUUUCUCCCGAACUGAGUUAGGCAGAAGAUUUCUGGUCAAGUGUGUAUUCUAUUUAUUCAGAGUUGAUAACAAGACUCUCGUCUUUUUGUGUUGUGGUUUGAUAGAUGCGGUGAGCCAUGUGGGAUUGAGAUUGAAUAAACAAGAUUUCAUUUUGGUUUUGAAAGUAAUGUCUUUAGUUCUAGACAAUAUGGGUGAUUUCAUAUGUUUAAGAUGAUGCUAGCACUAUCCUUUAUCGCCUGUGUAGAGCGGGCGUUGUGGAAGGUGCAUUGUAUUUUGAUUUACGGAUGUUGGGAUCGUGUGGAUGGUAUCUGUGGAUGUUUAGAUUUUCGUUACUUGGUGCGGAAGGUUUAUGGGAGUAUUUCUCAUGAGGCACUUGUGUAUGCAUGACAUAUCAGUCAUUUAAGUGGGAGAGAUAGAGAUCAGGCAUGGAGAUUUUUGUAUUCUCGAGGUUUAGAAAUUUGAUCUUUAUGGAGGCAAAUUAUUCCAUUAGUUGCGGACUAUGAAAAGUAUAUUAAGGUCUAGACGGCCGAUUGUAUGUGUUAUUGAUUAUCACUAUGGAUUUUUGGAAAGUUAUUUACCCAUUUUGGGAUGAUCUGAAUCUGUUCGGGACCUAUUGGAAGGCUUAAUGAGAAUGGGUAUUUUAUACUAGAUCGGAUUUGCUUACUCAUCACAACUUCUUUCAUGGGUAUGUCACCGAGCCAAAUGGAUAUUAUUCUUGCCAUUAUCUAUCACAUGUGUGAAUCCCUUAUGCUAUGAUUGGUUUUAAGAUGACUUGUUUGUUCACACGCAUGUGGUGGCCAUGUUUAGGCCUUGUGGUAACAUUGUAGCGAGAUGACUAUUGAGAUGUUAAUUCAUAGUUGUGCUUGGCUUUUGUAGUACUCUAUGCUAUCCGCCUUCCCAUAGUUAUGUUAAUGCACGAUAUGUGCUUGUUGUUGAUACACAUACGUUUGAUUAGCAUGAGGAUUUUGACUUAAUAAGUAUUCCCGUGUGGAGAGAUAUGAUGAUUGGAUCGAGAUGCACGCUGCAACGGUAUUAUAUUUGGAUAUAAUUUUUUGUGCAUACUCCGUGUGUUUUGUUUCUACCUUGUGGAUGGAUUCAUAACAUUGUUAUUUUGUGAUUGUAUAUAUUAGGCUUGUUGGACAGUCCUCUCAUUUGGUUCACUUUUGUGAUGUAACGACCCGACCAAUUGUUUCAUGAGUUACAACUCCGUUUUUCCCAUUUCUGCUUCUCUAUGUGUUAUUCAGCUAUAUUUCAUCGUAUCGUGUUGGUUGAUUCAGGUAUGUAGUGGUUUUGGAGGGGAAUGAGACAUUUAGUUACCUCGAUCCGGACCAAACUCUAGCCCGCGAUGCCUUUGCCCUCACGAAUCGAUCUUCGAAUGCUCCAAAUCUAGUCACAAUUAGUAUAUAACUAUUAAAAUAUGCUAAGGGAACAAAGCCCACUCGAAAAUGUCUAACUAACAUAAAAAAUCCUGAAAUUGCUCAAACCCGGCCCCCAGGACCAUGUCUUGGAUUCCGAUAAAAUUUACAACAAUGGGUUCCUUAUCUCCCCGCUAGUUCAUACAUAACAAAAGUACCAAAAUCCAACCAUAAACGACCCCUCAAAUCCCAAAUCUUAGGUCUCCAAUUACAAGCUCUAGUUCUUCAAUACUAGGCUUAAAUUCCAUGAUUAAUUAGGUAGAAUUCGCACAAGAAUCGAGUAUUGAGUUCAAAAAUCUUACCUCCAGGUGUUAUCUCUUGAAUCCCUCUUCAAAUCCUCUCAAAAAGCUCCAAAAUCGCCCAAAAAUGGUGAAAGUUAGCCUCAAAAUCGCGGAUAAUGGCUAUUUAAACAUUCUGAUCAUGCAUCAAAGACCUUCUUCGCGAACGCGGUCAAAGCCUCGCGUUCGCAAAGCAGAAACUCAAGUUGACCAAUUAUUCCUUCAUCGCGAUCACGACAAUCACCACGCGAACGCGAAAGCUUGACUUUCUAACUCACUGCGAACGCGAUACCACCUCCGCGAACGCGAAGAACAAACACACCGGACCCAGCUGCUCACCUUCCUUCUAUGCGAACGCGGCAUGAACCUCGCGAACACGAUGCACAAGACUCCAGCCCUUCGCAAAUGCAGAGCCUUCAUCAUGAACGCGAAGGCUAAUUCCUCAUCCUCACCAGCUUACCCUUCGCAAACGCGAAGGUCAAUUUUCCUGAAAUCCUUCAGCAGUUUUCUGCAACUUUUCAAAACAUGAAAUGGCCCGAUUGACCACCUGAAACUCACUCGAGGCCCACGGGACCUCAACCAAAUAUGCCAACAUAUCCCAGAACAUCAUUCAAACUUGUUCCAACCUUCGGAACACUCAAAACAACAUUAAAACACCAAAUUUGCAUCGAAUUCAAGCCUAAGAAUUCCAAAAUCUUCCGAAUUAUGCUUUUGAUCAAAAUCCCAACCAAUCCACAUCCGAAUGACCUAAAAUUUUUCACACACAUCACAAAUAGUACAAACGGAGCUACUGCAACUUCUGUAAUUCCAUUCCGACCCCUAUACCAAAAUCUCACCUAUCAACUAGAAAAAGCCAAAAUCUCAAUUUCGCCAAUUCAAGCCUAAACCUUCCACGGACUUCCAAAAUGCAUUACAAUCAUGCUCCUAAGUCCCAAAUAAUCUAACAGAGCUAACCAAAUCAUAAAAAUUCCAAUCCGAGAUCAUAUACAAACAAGUCAAAUCUUGGUCAAACCCCUUCAAAUUUCAAGCUUCAACUUGAGAACUGUUCUUCCAAAUUUAUUCCGAUUACCCUGAAAACCAAAACCAAUGAUUUACAUAAAUCAUAAUACAUCACACAGGGCAAUUCAUGCCCGAGAACUAGCGAGCGAAGUGCAAAAGCUCAAAACGACCGGUCAGGUUGUUACAAAUAUUUGGGCACAUGCAUAUGUUUUGUAAUUGGAUACUUGAUUUGGACUGAGAUUGCGGUAUGAAAGGCAAGAUUGUGCGGUUUAAAUACAGUUAUGGCAUAGGACAUGAUGAACAACAACAACAACAACCCAGUAAAAUCCCACUAGUGGGGUUUGUGGAGGGUAGUGUGUACGCAGACCUUACCCCUAUCCUGAAGGAGUAGAGAGGCUGUUUCCGAAAGGCCCUCGACUCAAGAAAUGAAAAAGACAAAAGAAGACAAUAUUAGUAUCACUACAGAAAUCAUAUUAAGAAUAGGAGCAACAUGAAAUCCAGAAGAAAGAUGCAAAGCAUAAGCGAUAGCUAGUAAAUAUGUCCUGCACUGAAAAGCGAAAUAGCAAAUAAAAUAAUAAAUAAAUAAAUAAAAACUUACCAGACCAAUCUCGCAAAGAUACAAAGGCAAGAAUCAACUACCUCCUAACCUAUAACCCUAAUAAUCGACCUCCACAUCUUCCUAUCAAGUGUCAUAUCCUCGAAAAUCUGAAGCCUCGCCAUAUCCUGCCUGAUCACCUCUCCCCAAUACUUCUUAGGCCGCUCUCUAUCUCUUCUAAUGAUGAACAAAAACAACAACAACAACCCAGUAAAAUCCCACUAGUGGGGUCUGGGGAGGGUAGUGUGUACGCAGACCUUACCCCUAACCUGAAGGAGUAGAGAGGCUGCACAUGACAUGAUGAACGAAUACUUAAUUAUAUGCGAGUUAUCAAACUUCUUUUUGCGCUUGGGUUUUGUACCAUCCCUCUACAAUCAAGUUAUUACCCAUAUUACUUUGGGCCUUGUAAGUAUGGUAGUUAUAUGGAUUGUGUGGCCGAUAUAUGAAUUUCGUAUCGAGUUUUAGUGAUACAAGGAUUUUGUAUCUGGGUACUUGGAUCUUGUACCAGUCAUGGUAAAAUAUAGAGUCUUGAGCAUGUAUUGACAUCCUUGAUUCAUUUAGAAGUAUUUAUUUAAAUGAUAAUUGUUGCAUGUCACAUGUAUAUGCUAGUUGGGAGCCUCGGCUCCGUUAAUUGAAGACAUGCCAUCUUUAAAUACUAUAUCUGAGUUGCGUUUUGAUUGUCUCUUGAAUUGAAAAAAGCAUGCUUUAUACUUUUCAACGGUUGAUAUUUUUGAGACUUGUUAUUCUUGAGAGUAAUUACUAUUUUCAGUUUUAGGCUGUGUUAUUUGUAUCUGUGUUGUAAGUAUCUUGAUGCUAUAUCCUCGCUAUUACUUUUUCGAGGUUAGACUUGAUACUUAUUAGGUAGUGACCGUGGUGUACUCAUACAAGCUUUUGUACAUCGUUUUGUGCAGAUCCUCAAGUGGGUUCUAGCUAGGAGCCUUUUAUUGAGCCUAGGAAAUUAUUUAGAGACUUAGGGCGAGUUGCACAUCACAGAUUCGUUCCGCAGUGCCCGAGUCCAUAUUCUUAUUUAUAUUCUAUCUAUUUUUCUUCCUCUUAGACAAUUUUGAUUAUGUAUUCAAACUUAUACUUAUUCAGUAGUUGCUCGUGUAUUUAUAUCACCUAGUGCUUUGGGGGGAGGGGGAGGGUUGUACUGUUUUGCUCAUGUUCAGACCAUGUUAUGAUUGUAUAAGAUGUUGUAUUGUUUAAAUUUAUGAUAGAACUUUGUUAAUUAAAGAAAUCUAGAGUAUAUUCUGUUGAUUGUGAGUUGGCUUGCUUAGCAAGGACGGCUAGGCGCCAUCACGACCUGGCUAGGACUUUGGAUUGUGAUAAGUUGGUAUCAGAGAUCUAGGUUCUAAGGGUCUCACAAGUCAUGAGCAGGUCUAGCAGAGUCUUGUGGAAUGAUACGAAAACAUCUGUACUUAUCUCCGAGAGACUACGGGAUGUUAGGAAAUUUCCCUUUCUUGAUUCCUUAUCGUGCGACUUUAUCUCAGCUUGAAGCAUAUAUCUUCAGUUUCCUCCUACUUGUUCGUACGCAAUGUUGAGCACGCGAAAUCAGUUGAGGUCCGGAGAUUUGUGGUGAUGUUGCGCAUGUGGUGUGCGAUAUUUUUUCCCUAUGUUAAGGGUUGACUACUAUCAUUGCUUUGUGGAGGGAUUUUCAUAAAUAGCCGCCCUAGUGUUGGUAUCGCCCACGUGUUUGGGACCUUACAUAGCAUAUCAUGAUGCUUCACGUGUUAGUUUGGACAUAUCACGACAGUUGAAGCCCUUUGAGGAGAACUAUCUAGUUCAUGAUUUGGAGUUUGGCAUUUGUUCUAGUAGAUGAGAGGUUUUUGGGCUAUGGAAGUUCCGACCUUGGUUUAUAAAUUUAUGAAGUUGGGCAUCUCUGAGCAUAUUGGAGUUCUUACUUGUGUGGUUGGGCAGUUUUGUUUGUUUAUGCGCAUCAAAGCUUGUUAGUGUGAUGAUUUACAUUUGCUUAUCCUUACAGACAUGGUGUGUUGGGUGGUGCUAAGGAGGUGGUCCUUAAUGAAUCAGUGUGUUGUAACUUCAAGGUCGGAUUUGUAUUUCCAGUGUUGAUGGUUCGAUAGAGAUGAUCCUUGAGGAGGCUUGUAGUUUGGGGUAUUUUGUUCAUACGGAUAAUACAGAGAUGUAUCGUGUUUUGAGGCAGCAUUAUGGGUGGCGAAAGAUGAAGAAGGGAAAUAUUAGGUAUGUCUCAUGGUGUUGAUUAUAAGUAUGUCGAGAAUGAGCAUUAGAGACUGAGUGGAUUACUUCAGAAGGUAAGCUAUACCCGUGUAGAAGUGGGGGUGUAUCGUUAUGGACUUUGUGGUUGGGUAACCACAUGCUUUGAGGUAGGUUGGUGCGAUUUGGGUCAGUAUGGACAAAUGACUAAUUCUGUGCAUUUCAUUUUGGUAAUGAAUUCUUACAUUUGGAGGAGUUUGAAUUUGACAAGAAGGGUUUGCUUGAGCUACAAAGGGAAUGUGAAUGCUUAAUUAUCAUCUUUGUGUACUAUACAAUCUUGAGUUUUGAAUGUGUUGAUGGAUCUUUUGAUUUUUCAUUGACGAAAAAAUUAAAUUCUUAUGGAAUGUGUACGAGUGUAGACUGGGGAGAAUUAAUUGAUUACAUAGUAGUGGUGCUCAUGGAAAGGUCAUAGAAAGAUUUGAGGCUACACAGGUGAUACUAUCUCCUAUGAGAAUGUUAGAGGUACGUGUGACACCAUAGGCGAAUCCCACAUUAACAAAAUACAUGAGAGAUGGUGGGUAUAUAAGUAGUCACGCCUUAGACUCUAGUGACGCAUUUUGAAGCCGUGCGGUAUUAGGCCCAAAUCGUACAAUAUCACUAGUUGGAUGGGCUGUUACAUAUGGUAUCAGAGCCACUCCACAUGUAACCUUGAACAACUGUGAGUCAAACCUCAGUGAGGACGCUGAGUUCCUAAGGGGGUGUAUGUGAUACCCAAGGCGAAUCCCACAUCGAUAAAGUCGUACAGACCUAGGCCCAAAGCGGACAAUAUCACUAGUGGAAUGGGUUAUUACAGUAAGAUUUGUUAUGAGGUUGCUAUGAAGAGUUGUACCUUCUAUACAAUGGGAUAUAAGUACUAUAGUGUGAGUCUAGAUUGCUUGAGGUAGAUGGCACGAAUGUCACGAGGUUGAGUAAGCAUUUGGGAUGAUAAUAUGGGAUGUGUUAUGGUUAGCGCAACAUGAGCUUAUGAGAAAUUCGGCUGAGUAACAGUGUGAGGUUAUGGUAACUAAGGAAGAAGGGUUAUUGUGAGUUCUUGGGUUAUGUGAUUGUGGUUUAAAUCCAGGUGGGGGAGCCUACCAUUUACGAUUAGAUCACAUGGUCAUGUAUGGUUGUAGUUCUGAACUUCGGUGCACUUAUGGAUUAGUUAUGGCUUGAGGAGAAUGACUUCGAGAUUAAUUCAGGCAAGGAAUUUCCUGGGGGCGUGUUAUAUUCACCUUAUUAUUAUAUAGAGGUCGUGGAAUGGCUCAAGUUGGAUAGUACUCCUUUGUGGAUGUAGUAUGUAAAAGAAAGGGAUUUGACCCGGUUAUGUCUUUUUGGAGUAGUCAUAUGUUGUCAUUACACUAGUCGUUCAACAGGAUUGGUUAUGUAUUAGGGAUUGGGUCAGAGUGGGUGACACUCGAGGAUAGUUCUAGUGAGUUCAAGGUUCAAGAUAUGGUACCUAAGGAUUAUCAAAUUCGUCGAGUGGUUGAGGAGUUGAGAUUGACGUUAGAUUAUGGAAGAGACUAGAGAUAAUUUUGCAACAUUUUCGGUUAUGCGAGGCAAUGUUUGAGAGAUGGAAGGAACGGCUUCAGACUCAUAGAAGAUCUCUUUAGAGCAUGUAUUUGGGAUUGAGUUACUAUUGAGUGUAUAAGAGGGAAUACAAUGGUUUAAGAGUCUUAGGACGACGAUAUUUCAUAUUGGGAUCACUUGGUAUGAGUUUUUAUUGAGGUCCAUAGUGUACUAUGAAAGAGAAGUGAUGUCAUGAAGGUGGAUCAUGAGUAACCUGAAGAAGUUAGGUCCAUUUAGUAGUGACUUAGAUCAACAUAGUAAUAGAGAUGAUCAGUUCUUUUUGUAUAAUAGGGCUUUACGGAUGUUUUGUGAUAAUACGCUUAGUGUUUGGCAAUCUACACAACUUGGUUGAUUUAGAGGAAUUCAAUUCUGAUGGCUUGGUUAUGAAAAUAGAUUUCGAAUAGUGGUGAUAAUUUGAUCACGACUUGAGGUUGACGUAUUCUACGUGUAUUAAGAGGUUGUUGCAUGUUGUGAUUUUUCUCUCGAACUGAGUUAAGCGAAAGAUUUCUAGUCAAGUGUGUAUUCUAUUUAUUCAGAGUUGAUAACAAGACUCUUGUCUUUUUGUGUUGUGGUAUGAUAGAUGCGGUGAGCCAUGUGGGAUUGAGAUUGAAUAGACAAGGUUUUAUUUUGGUUUUGAAAGUAAUGUCUUGAGUUCUAAACAAUAUGGGUGAUUUCAUAUGUUUAAGAUGAUGCUAGCACUAUCCUUUAUCGCCCUGUGUAGAGUGGGCAUUGUGGAAGGUGCAUUGUAUUUUGAUUUGCGGAUGUUGGGCUGGUACUAUAGAGAUCGUGUGGAUGGUAUCUGUGGAUGUUUAGAUUUUUGCUACUUGGUGCGGAAGGUUUAUAGGAGUAUUUCUCAUGAGGCGCUUGUGUAUGCAUGACAUAUCAGUCAUUUAAGUGGGAGAGAUAGAGAUCAGGCAUGGAGAUUUUUGUAUUCUCGAGGUUUAGAAAUUUGAUCUUUGUGGAGGCAAAAUUAUUCCAUUAGUUGCGGACUAUGAAAAGUAUAUUAGGGUUUAGACGGUCGAUUGUAUGUGUUAUUGAUUAUCACUAUGGAUUUUUGGAAAGUUAUUUACCCAUUUUGGGAUGAUCUGAAUCUGUUCGGAACCUAUUGGCAGGCUUAAUGAGAAUGGGUAUUUUAUACUAGAUCGGAUUUGCUUACUCAUCGCAACUUCUUGUAUGGGUAUGUCAUCGUGCCAAAUGGAUAUUAUUCUUGCCAUUAUCUAUCACAUGUGUGAAUCCCUUAUGCUAUGAUUUGUUGUGAGAUGACUUGUUUAUUCACACUUAUGUGGUGGCCAUGUUUAGGCCCUGGGUAACAUUGGAGCGAGAUGACUAUUGAGAUGUUAAUUCAUAGUUGUCUUGGAUUUUGUAGUGCUCUAUGCUAUCUGCCUUCCCAUAGUUAUGUUAAUGCACGAUAUGUGCUUGUUGUUGAUACAUAUGUUUGGUUAGCAUGAGGAUUUUGACUUAAUAAGUAUUCCCGUGUGGAGAGGUAUGAUGAUUGGAAUGAGAUGCACGCUGCAACGGUGUUAUAUUUGGAUAUAAUUUUUUUGUGCGUACUCCGUGUGUUUUGUUUCUACCUUGUGGAUGGAUUCAUAACAUUGUUAUUUUGUGAUUGUAUAUAUUAGGCUUGUUGGAAACUCCUCUCAUUUGGUUCACUUUUGUGAUGUAACGACCCGACCAAUCGUUUCAUGAGUUACAAUCCCGUUUUUCCCAUUUCUGCUUCUCUAUGUGUUGUUCAACUAUAUUUCAUCGUAUUGUGUUGGUUGAUUCGGGUCCGUAGUGGUUUUGGAGGGGAAUGAGACAUUUAAUCUCUUAUUUAGUAGCUUAAGUUGGAAAAAAAUCAACCGGAUGUUGACUUAUGUGUAGAAGAUCUCGGAUGUGAUUCUGAUGGUUCGGGUAGCUCCGUUAGGUGAUUUUCGACUUAGGAGCGUGUUCAGAAUGUAAUUUAGAGGUCCGUGGUAGAAUUAGACUUGAAUUGGCAAAAUUGGAAAUUUGGCGUUUUUCGGUUAGCAAUUGAAAUCUUGAUAUUGAGGUCGGAAUGGAAUUCCAAAAAUUGGAGUAGGUCUGUUGUGUCAUUUGUGACGUGUGUACAAAAUUUUAGGUCAUUCGGAUGAGGUUUGAUAGGUUUUGGCAUUAUUUUCGAAAUUCGGAAGUUUGGAAAUCCUUAGGCUUGAAUCCGAGGGUGAUUUGGUGUUUUGAUGUUGUUUUGAGUAUUCCGAAGGUUGGAAUAAGUUUGAAUGGUGAUAUGUGACUUGUUCAUAUAUUUGGAUGAGGUCCCGAGGGCCUCGGGUUGAUUUCGGGAGGUUAUCGGAUCAAGGAUGGGAUUUGAGGAAGUGCUGAAGAUUUCCUUCAUCUGUCAUAACCGCACCUGCGGAGUGGGGACCACAAGUGCGAGGCCCGCAGAAGCGCAUAAGCAGCCGCAAAAGCGGCCAAAGAUAAGAAGGGCAGGAACCACAGGUGCGCACAUGGGACCGCACCUGCGAGAUCACAAAUGCGUGAUCUUGACCGCAGAAGCUGUUUUCGAAGGUUAAGUGAAAACCGCACCUGCGAUGGAUUUUCCGCAAAUGUGGAAGUUCUGGGAAGAAGGUAUAUAAGGUGGACUUUGCGAAUUUCAGUUCAUUUUCCACCAUUUUUAGUCGGCAUUGGGGCUUUUGAGGGCGAUUUUGAGGAGGAAUUCAAGGAUUUAUUAGAGGUGAGUGGCUUGAGCACUAAUACUUGUUUAUGUGAUAAUUUCCCGUUGAUCAAUCAUGGAAUUUGUAGAAAUUAGGGAUGAAAUUGAGGGGUUAGGGCUUGAAAUUAGAGAGUUUAAUUUGAGGAUUUAAGGGACCAUUUGAGGUCAGAUUUUGAUGGUUUUGGUAUGUAUAGACUCGUGGGUAAAAGGAGUUUCUAGUUUUGUGAUUUUUGUCGGAUUCCAAGAUGUGUGCCUAGGGGCCGGGUUUGGGGUGAAUUUUGGGAUUUUGGUAUUAAUUGAUAGUUUUUCAUUUGGAAUUGAUCCCUUGGCCUAUAUUGAUCGUAUUGUACUGCUUUUGGUUAGAUUCAGGACAUUUGGAGGCCGAUUCUAGAGAUAAGGGCAUCAUAGAGUAAGGAUUUGACCGGUUCGAGGUAAGUAAUGAUUGUAAAUCUUGUCCUAAGGGUAUGAAACCCCGGAUUUCACAUCGUUUCACUAUUUUGAGGUGACGCACAUGCUAGAUGACGAGCGUGCAGGCGUGCACCGUUGGGGAUUGUGAUUUGGUUCAUCCCGUAGCAACUAUAAAGUUGCGUACUUGAUUGAAACUAUUUGAUACUUAUGUGCUUUAGAAAGAAUUUCUAUGAAUUGGGCUGAAUGCCAUAUAUGGGCCUCGUGCCAAGCUGUUUGAACCCUUAGGGACCUUUGUUAUUUCCUCACUGUUUUGACUUAAGAUAUGUACUCAGUCAUGCUAUGCUUUACUAAUUUCAUAAUCCAGUCUUUAUUACUCUGUUUUGAUAUAUAAAAUGAUAUUUUGGGCUGAGCACCCUGUUUUACUGAUAGCCCGAGUGGCUUGGGAGGUUUUUGACUGAGUGAGGACGAGGGCCUGUAUUGUGAGGAUAUUAUGGGAUUGGGCUACGCGCCGCAGUAUGUUGUUAUUGAUUUGUGAUAUAUGAGAGGUCGAGGGCCUGAUUGAUUAUGCCACGAGAUAGCUUGUUAUAGCGCUUGGGCUGUAGGAGCCCCUCCGGAGUCUGUACACCCACAGUGAGCGCGGGUACCCUGAGUGAGUGAUAUGAUGUUGCCGAGGGGUUGUUCUUAAUUCAUGUUGUGCCCAAGGGGUGAAUUACGAGUGAUUGUGAGGUUGCCCGAUGGGCUGAUUCUGAGUGAUGUUAUGCCCAAUUGGCGGUUUAUGAUACAUGUCUUUGCCCGAUGGGCUAUUUAUGAUUUUCAUCACUAUUACUAUAAAUUUCACUGAACCUUUAUUAAAUCUGUUUUGAAAAAUAUCUUCAAAUAAUUUUUACCAGAAUUGAAUU
rnacentral:lncRNA from 1 species